GGGGGGGGGGGGGGGGGGGGCGGUGGGGGAGAAGAAGAACCUACGUACGAUUUCAUUUUGAUUUCUGAAACGGAUGAUGCAGUUGAUGAUUUUGUAAAGCAAAUGUAUGUGACAGAUGCUAAAACACUACGUGUCAAGCCCAAGCAGUAUGGAAGUGGGCCUGUUCUAUGAUUAGGCUGGCUUGUCGACCCCACCCAGCCCAGGUGCACCAAGCAAAGCUCCUACCAAACAGAGAAUCAGCCCAGUCGACCACGUCGUAUGUGUCGUCCUUUCCAAAUUGGAUUUUCGACUGAAUCCCUCCCUCACUACUAUCCCAGAGCUCCGCAAAAAUUGCCUGUUGAGAUUUAUAUUCUAUAAUGAACAGAUAAAAACAACUGGGUGCCUUGCUCACCUUUUGGGAUGGGGAAUAGCACAAGAUUCAGGACAAGUUAUUAUCUCAAAUGUACAAUUUCAGGAGAUGUGUAAUGCAAGUAGGUCAAAUAGCACAAGUUUGAAGGAUAAAAUACACAAUCUUCUUGUGCAACUACUAAUUUCUGUGUGGCGCAACCAGUUUAUCUCCCUUCUAUUUGGGAAAUUCAGGUUCUGCCUAGAGUUCACAUGUGUUUGUGGUUGCUGUCUACAACUAAGAUGCUGACCACAAAUAUCUGCAAUAGGAUCACCAUGUCAGGGAUGAAAUAUUCAUACUUUGCAAUGAGAAAUAAUUUAUACAGCAUCCCGCUUUAGCUAGAUGCAUGUGAAAAUGCCCUUUAUGAACUUUUUCAGUUUACUUUAGGGCUUAGUUCAGAAUUUAAGUUUGGUUUAACUAAUGUCUUUAGCACUGCAUCCCUAUGGGGACUCCGGAAACUAAAGAAUUAGUAUUGUUUAUUCUUCCAGAAAUGUCAGCAGUAUAGAAAGUUUCUUUCGGUUUUGCUGUUUAAUGUUUUGUUCCUCGGUUGUCUCGUGAUGAGAGAUACAACUGAGCUUAGUUUUUCUUACCGCCUCCUGCAUGAGGUUCUACUUAGCAGUGCUCAUGUGAUUGUGCAGUUAUGAUUUCAACCAUUUGGUCCGAUCUUUUGCCGUCGAGUUUCUAGAUUCAUCCACCUUCUCUGUUAUGUCACAGGCACGAAUAAGCUGCUACAUCUGCACUUUUUAAGGUUCUUUCUGCCAACAAAUUGCCCGUUCUACCUUGACUUCCCCUCCAUUGCUGACAAUGCAUCAUGUUCCCACAGUUUCUUUCUUUUGAGUAUUUUUUUUCCUUCUUUCUUCUUGGUUUGCAGUUUGGCCAAAGCGAAACUUUGAUGCAAUUUUGUACAGCUAUCCUCUAAAUAUCCUUGCAGUUUGGCCACAUUGGUAAAUGGUAACAUUCUCUAAAUAUCCUUGUCAAUCCUUGUACGACCACACUAUUCUGGAUUAUCCGUGAAUGAAGUAAAGGGAAAUUGUUUUUGAUUGAGGACUAUAUUUAAUCAGCUUACUCUGCAUUUCUGCCAGAUAACAGAACAGCUUAACAGAAUUUCAUCUGGCUGAUGAAAUGGCGAGUCAUUAGAACAUCUUAAGAAUCGUUGGGCACUUGAUGACUCAAGCAAGCUAAGCCAUAUUAUUUUUUGAGUUAUUACAAUGGUCUUAGAUGUAUAAUCUGUUUAAUUGAUACAUGCAAACAACUUUUGCAUAUUCGUAUAAGAUUGAAAGACAAAGGUGAAAGAGUGUCACAUGGAAGUAAUGGCAUUAAUGCCAUCAGUUUAUUGUACCUAACACUUUGCCGGAUAUAUGUAUAGCCUCAGAGUUUAGGAGUAAGCAAUGGGAGGAAGUGCAAGAUAGGAAAAGGAGAAAGUUACAGUAACAUAUGUUCUGUGUUUCAUUAUUGUAGGAAUGAGAGGCACUUGGGACUUUGCUCCACCGAUGUUGUCGGACCUUUGAGACAAUUAUUUUUCACACAUCCUAAUAGUAAUGGAGAGCUCCUUGAUUUUCAUUGGGGGCAGUAGGAGCAACACCGCCGCUGGGGAGGAUGCAUCAUGCAUGCCAGGCGAGAGGCAGGGGAGCGCAGCGAGCUGCUUCAUAGUGUGGAGCUGAAGAAGAAGAAGAGCAGUAGAUUGAAGUAGAGGUUUGAGCCGUCAGAUCAGGAACUUUCAGUUAUAAUUUCUAAGAAAGAUUUACUCAUGCCGUUUUUAAAUGUCUAUUCUUAGUGUGCGCAAAAUAAUUGAUAAUCAAAAUUUUAAUAUGUUGAGUGCACACAACUCAACUCCUCAGCCUUUUGUGACAGGAGAAAGUACAAAAUAGGGGAGGGUAAGCUGUGGAAAUAAGUCGUUGAUCGACAAUAAAUAUCAAAUUAGCAAUAACGUUAUCUAAAACCUAACUGGAAGCCUCUAAAUUUAUGAAGGGGUAUGUGGGCAACUAUAUAAUAAUACACAAUCUUUAUGUGCCGUUGUCACCCCGGUGGGGUUGAAACCUGUUAAUCUCCUUGAGUUUGGAAAGUUCAUGUUCCUUCAAGAGUUCAGAUAAUUUUGUUGUUGUUCUUGUUGUCCAUAACUAGGAUUUGACUAGAGGUAAUCUACAAGAAACAUGUUAGGGACCAAACAUGUCUGGUUACGCAAUGAGAUAGAAUAAGUACAACAUUCCUUUUUUUAAGUGUGUUGUAGGUAGUUGCAUGCAGAAUUCCCUCUUAGGACUUCAAAUACAAAUUGGUCUUAAUCUUGAACAAGCUGCUGGCUAGCUCAAUCAGGUUUUCAGAAUUGGCAGUGGAUGAUCUAGCAAAUGAAGAAAUCUGAAUGACAGAAUCCUCUGCUGCUUCCUCUGUUUCAUAAUUCAGGAACAGAGUUUCCUCUCUCCUUUUCUUUAUGCAAGAACAGAGUUCGCUAAAACACAACUUGUAACUGCCUAAUUAUAAAUUAUUUCCUCUUGCGCAUGGGACGUUGGAACUUUGGAAAAAAGAAAAUGACUAUACUGAUGGAUAUAUAUACGACAUGAAAAUUCAAUGACAUGAGGUGUGUCUGAAUCAUAUCGUUGUUAACUCACUAAAGCAACCCAUUAUUGCACCCGAACGAACAGUGUCUUAAAAGCAGAGACCGUAGUGUGAACUGUCACUAUAAUAUCGAUGGUUGGUUUGCAAGGUUGCACAGAUUGCAUUGCUCUAUUUGCUCCACGAGACCAAAGUGAUAUUGGUCGGCAGCAUCACAGUUCUUUUUUCUAGAAUCUUCAGCACUUGUUGUGGGCAUGGCAGGCAGCAGGCACCGAGACACUGGUUUCUUCAUCUCUGGUAGUCAGCAUAUGAUUACGUGCCUGUGCAAGAUGAGUAUAGGCUCCUGUUGUCCACCGUGAGAGUUGCAUACAUCCGCAAGGUGCGAAGACUGUAGAUGCGAGGAGCUUGGGACCAUCACCAUGUUCAAAAAGGUGAUAUACAUUGACAAUCACCAUGUUCAAAAAGGUGGCUGGAGCUUGGGACCAUGGAUUGAGCUAACACUACUCGUAUUGACUGUUGGUUUUGUUUAUUUUAAGGAAGGCAAGAAGGGAAUGAGUUUGAUGAAAUGCCUUGGUGUUUUGGCCGGUGAGGCAUAGUGGUGGGUGUGGGAGGCAGCAUGAGACGAAACAAUAUGUCCAUGUUUUGGGUUAUUCUAGAUUAUGUUGUGAUUAUGUUUUCCGCAGUUUUAAGAGCACUGCUUGUUUUAUGACGAGAAGUUAAGUGCAAUUCAAAUUUGUGUUUUGAAGACAGUGUGGAUGUUUAAACUGUUACUUUAUGUGGAUGUAUAAAUUAAAUUGUUGCUUAUUUGUUAUGGGAGAGAGUACAAGACAUUCCAAAUAGAUUGAAUGAAAAAAACCUUACCGUUACAGAAUAAUUCAAAGCAAAUGAAGAAGGCAUAUGACAUUCAACUCAGGCCAACUCCAAGGUGCGGAAGUGAUGUUUCUUAGUAGGAUGUGUUAUUUCGAAGGUUCGGCAUCUCGCAGUCAGCCCUUGCCUGCGGCUUAUGUUGGAGAUUCACACCAAGGUGGUAACCACGCACGUUAGGUUUAGGCAACCAUACAACCUUCGUUGUGCCACUGCCAUCUCAAAAUGCAGAUUGUGAGCGACCAUACAACCUUCGUUGUGCUACUGCCAUCGAAGGUCAUGGGUGAUUCGCGGAAGCGAAUCUGCAGAGGGUCGUCACCUUCGAGUAAUGGCAUCUCGGUCUGUAACCCCAUGUUUUCAUGUUUAUUGUUAGCAGGUUUCGGCCAGGCCAUGAACGCGAUCCAUGGUAGACAGGGACGUCAGCUUCAUUUGGGCCUAAGGAAGGUAAGGUGCCACCAGACCAAAAGAAAAAAAAAACUCAUGAUGCCUCCACAACAUGAAGGUUGAAGGGUCAAAGCUCAAGGGAAGCAUGACUCAUGUGAUUUUGGCUAUGGAAACAUUAAGGCACCAGCCGGUUGUGUAAUCUCUAUUUUACCCUUAUGUCAAUUUUGUACAGCAUAUCUAGGAUUAAUGUAGUAGCUACGUAACCGAGGGCAACAAAGUAAGGGGGAAAGUGUCCCUUCGUCUUCCUGUAAAUAGGGAUCCAUCCCACUGUACAAAGAAUAUUGGUCAAGCAAUCUUUAACUUCAUUGCUGCCCUGGUAAUUGUGUGUCUUUCGUCAGUAGUCGUUACCAUCGUAUUUGAGUGCUUGACCUUCUUCCGUAGUCGAGUAGAGUUGCUCAAAACCAACAUGUAGCAAGCGCAUAAGAGUGCAUCAAUAGGAGGGACUGCAACAUUCAAUGCUAUCCCUCUGUACAUAUGAAUUUGUACGGCGUGCUUGUUUGUCUCAACUCAAGCCAUUUAGGGUCAUAUGGUGUAGGAAGGACAAGCAGGAGGCAGAAGACUAUAAGUAACUGCAACAUUUCUUAUUACAGCACUAGCUAGUCCUUCAUGGUCGUUACAGAGAUUUGUGAGGCAUCGGAAAGUCCCACGUGUUAUGCGUGCAACCCAAAAACAGCCUUAAAAGUGGUGGGUUCCACCGCCGGCUGGCUUGGUUUGUGCAAAUGUUGAUGUGGCGGUCUUCUCCUCCUCCUCAUGCUCGACGUGUGGUACGGUGAUUCAGGACCAGGUAUGUGCCUGGCAGCUUCUUGUCUGUCGUUUCAUGGAGUUACUGCACCGAAGAUCGUUGAAGCAGAAGUGCCGAAGAUCGUAAAGGUAUCAUCUUUGUUGUUUUUUCAAUCCGAUUGUCUCGUCAUGGUCAACAAGGUUUAUGCUGGUAGCUGCUACAGCAGAUCCAUUACGGGCUCUAUUGUCUCUGACAUCACAUCACUGGCGAGUAGUCUUAUUUUCAUUUAUUUACGGGCUCUAUUCAAGAAGGAAAUGGCAUGCAAAACCUACUUCUCUUAGGCUUUGUUUAGUUGUCAAAGUUUGGAGAUCCCAAAUUACUGUUACAGCACUGUAGCACACUGUAGCGUUUUGUUUGUAUUUGUGAAUUAUUGUCCAAACAUUGACUAAUUAGGCUCAAAAGAUUCGUCUCGUAAAGUACAACAAAACUGUGCAAUUAGUUUUUAAUUUCAUCUACAUUUAGUACUCCAUGCAUGUACCGCAAGUUUGAUGUGAUGGGGAAUCUUCUUUUUGCAUAGUGCCAAAGUUGGGAGUUGGGGGUGAAGUAAACCAGGGCUAAACAAGAGCUUACUUGUGAAUAAAGAUGACACCUUUUUGUCUUUGAAUGCCACACCGGUACAGUGGUUUUGAGUGUAGUUGCCAAUUGCUUGCAUAUCUGCAAACAAUAGGCCAUUAAAUUUGUCUCAGUAUUAGGUUUGAGUCCGCACAACAAACCAUGGGUGACUAAUUUAUUUGCAUUCAGUUGUCACGUACGUGCUUCACGAGGAUUCCAUAAUGUAAUGCGUAGAGGCUAACAAUACUCAGACCAAAGCUUGUUAUAAAAGGAGGGGCACAACGUCUACUGAGUUGUUGGGCAGAAGAGUUUCAGAUGGUCUAUGAAAAGAUAUGUUGAGGUUCUCUCUUUCGUAGACCAAGGCUGCUUCUAUUGUUUGUAUCCUCAUCACGGCAUCUUUAGGAUUUAUAGGAUAGGAUUCAUGGCUGGCAGGUUGGCUCUGUGGCUUCUAUUCCAUAAAGCGUUUCCUGACCUUUUUUCCAUCUCUCGAACAUAUUGUUUCUCUUACUGUCGUGAUCAUAUUCAUAUAUACGGUAGUUGUCAAUUCUUUCCUGCAAGUUGGCGAAUUUCAAUCUAGCCUCUGUUCUGAGUGCUGAAGAAUGCACUACAUUUGUCUGACCAGAAAGCAGCUUCUUCCUCACAAUUGAUAUGUACUGUACACGGGUCCAAAUGUAUCUGAUCAUGAUCUGCAUGCUUGUUAAUGACUGCACUAUGUAUUUCAUAUUUGAAUAAACAAAUUUUACAACCUAGUUCCAGUCUUUCGUACGGAUGAACUACAAGCAAUGAGAACUCUAUGCCUUUCUACGCGUCUCCCUUGAAAAAUGAUUUGAUUUAUUGUUUUCCUUUAACAGUCUGCAUGCGAAAAAUUAGCUCUAAUCACCAAGCACAAACUCUCUUACCAUGAUGAAUCCUGCAGCCCGCGAGGGGGGAUCGGUCAUGUACUUAUUCAUUCAAGCGUUCCUGAAAAGCAGACCAACCUUGUUGAUAUUAUCAUCGGCCUAUAGAUGUUUUCCGCUAUUUGAAUUUAAGAAAGUGCGUAUACGGAGCCAUAGGGCAGAAGAGUAUGGGGAUGUCUGAGAAAAUAAGAUGUUGGGGGUUGCGAGGCACGGAUUCAAAAAAUAUUCAUUCAGGUUCAGUUCGAAUCUUGGUUGUUGAUUUGAUGUGCCGUGAUCCAAGACGCAUCCAUGAUCUGCUUUGCCUAUUUUUCUACUAUGAUUUUGUUAAAGGAGUAAUUAACAUUAUUAAGCAUUAAGAACUAGUAAGCGUUAUUAAUGUUGAGUACCAUUCGCAGUUCUUUGCUUCGACAUGUUAAAGAGAAAUGAAGGGAAGCUUAAAAUCUAAGUUGCAUGAUAAUUUUAGCAGGCAGACAACUGCCAUUCAUGUCCUCUCUCUUCCACCUUUUUCGAUAAAGGAAUAUUUAUUAAUCUUAGAAAAUAACAUCAAAUGUGAUACAAUCAUCUAAGACCAUCCAGGCCUCCGCAUAGUUAGGAUAAACUUUGGUGCAUUGUAGCAUACACAACCAGGCACACUAACUGUAACACCCUAAUUUUUCAUCAUUUGCAAGUUAAUAAAAUUUAUUAGGAUUUUCUAGAAUUUAUUUGAGCUUCUUUAAGGAUUUAAGGAUUUUCUAAGGUUUUAUUUGAUUUUCUAGGCAUUUAUUUGUUUUUCUGAAAUUUAAUUAAAGAAUCAUAGGUUUGCAUUGUUGCAUUCAUGUUGGUGCAUUGUUUUUUUUGCUGAGUUCAAAUUUCAUAUUUGAAUUCAAGUUUGUUUGAAUCCCUUUUGAAAAUGGCAAAGUUUGUCUUUUUGUUCUUUUGUUUCUAGCUCCAGCCUUCUUCUUCCUUUGGCCCGUGUCUUCUUCUUCCUUUCAGCCCAGCUAGGCCGCAAUAGCAGUAGCACGUCGGCGGCUCAGCUUUCGCUCAGCGCAACUACCGUCGACGUCGAUGGCGCCCCAGCUCCUUUCCGCCUCCGUCCCUUCUCUCUGCGUUGUGGGCCCCGCCCGUCAUCUCCUCUAGCGCGCCGGGUCCGACCCGAGCUCAACCGAGUCGCGACCGCCCCCGCGUUUGCCUCAUGGUUUAUGGCGCACACGCCAAGGAGCAACCCCCAGCCGCCUAUAUGGCCACCGCCACCACCUCCGCUAUCCCCUUUUCACCCAAAACCCCCGCUGAGCCCCAGCACCACCGCACGAGUGUGAAACCCUAGCCGCAAGACCCGCCGCCGUCGAUCUCCUCCAUCGCCGCCUCCCCAUCGACUAGAGCACCACCAAGAGAUCCACGUCGAGGUGAGGAAGCUUUCGGUGCAGAUCUUUUACAAUCCCGUGACCUCCAGCCUUCGCUCGAGCUCACUGGAGUUGCUGCUUCGCCGCCGAGCCACCCCACUGCAUCGCGCCGACGUUAGCUCUGCCGCUGCAAGAACAACCUGGGCUGCUUCACUAUGUCCCUAGCUCUCUCUAGAGCUUGAUCCCGUCGAGGAUCGUGGCCAGAAGCUCGAGAUCGAGCCAAGUGUGGCGAGUUCUGCUGUAGCACCGCCGCUCACGUCCCGUCACACCGCAGUUGUCCAAUCGCGGAUCAACAGCCUAGAUCAAGUCCAAUCCCGAGUCAAACCGGUUGCAUACUAGUCAACUAAGCCGACGUCAGCUCUGCCGCUGCAAGAACAACCUGGGUUGCUUCGCUGUGUCCCUAGCUCUCUGUAGAGCUUGAUCCCAUUGAGGAUCGUGGCUGGAAGCUCGAGGUCGAGCCAAGUCAGACGAGUUCCGCUGUAGCACCACUGCCCUCCAUCGCUCACAAUGUCACCGCUCAUGUCCCAUCACACCGCAGCCGUCCGAUCAUAGAUCAACGGCCUAGAUCGAGUCCAAUCCCAAGUCAAACCGGUUGCGUACUGGUUAACUAAGCCGCCCACGCUGUUUUUGCUAGAGUCCCUGUAUUUUCUAGUUUUUGCACCCAAAGUCCUACGCAGUUCAAAAAUAAUUAGAUUUAAGUUUGUUUUCUUCUGUUUUAGCCCCUGUCCUUGUACAAAAUCAUGCUCGACGUCCCGAUUUAGUCUUUUUGCGUGUUAGCCCUUCGGUUUGUAUGUUUAAUUAGGUUUUAGCCCUCGGUUUCUUUAAGUUUAGCCCCUGAAAGUUUAGUUUGGUGAACCUUGUUUAGCUCAUAUCUUUAGUGUUUUAAAUCUGUUUUAAAUGAUUCUUGAGCCUAUGAGUUCGUGUUGACGCAUAGAAUAGUCUUAUGACCUUAUUUUGCUUUGUUGUUACUGUUUGGUGUAUUGUUUUCUUAUUUUAGUUCUUUGUUUGCUUGUUUAGUGGCUUUGGAUGCUUGUGUGAUGCUAGAAGAAGCGCAGCUCAAGGAAUUUCAAGAAGAAGACUUCGAAGACUCUUAACAGCAUCAGAACUUUAAGGAAGGCAAGUUGUGCCCUUGAUCACAUUCUGUCCUAUACCACAUUUAUAUAUGAAACAUAUAUGUUAUGCACGCUUGAGUCCUAAUUAAUAUGAUGGUUCCUAUUUAAGGUUGUGCCUAGUUUCCAUAUUAUUCUUUGUUAAUCUGGGUUUACUUUAUUGUUGGGUAGAUAUGCUAGUUGCUAUACCUGGUUUAUGGUGGGAAGUAAUGAAUAAUGAUGAACCUGAUUUACUUAUGUUAUGUACUUCGUUAAUUACAACCACUCACAUGCCUUAACUCGAACAUGGAGUGAGCACCUAGGAAAAUAGUACAACCAUAAGACUAACGGGCUCUAGUCUUGGCUUAUUAAUUAGAGACUCUUGUGUGUGGUAGUCUUACCGAAAGGGCAAGAGGGGGUCUUGUGAUGGGGUAUAGCUCGGCUCCUUUGAGUGGUAUUCUCUUUGUAGAUACUCACCUUAGGGGAGGGUUAUGCACACACAACUGUCGAAACCUUAGUGGACUACUACCUACAAGGGAAUCUUUGUAAAUGUCUCGUAGUGAAUCCCUAGCCACUCACCUUGGCAGUUUUUAAGGACCUUGCAAACCUAGGCGACAUGGGAGACACGACUUGUAAAGUUGUACAACCUCUACAGAGUGUCUAAAAACUGUUAUAACAGCCGUGCUCAUGAUAAAGGGUGGCCUGGACCCUCGCAUGAUAAUUGAACGUGAAAAAUAAUUAACUAUGCUUUAUUUAUGCUUUAUUUAUGUUCGUGUUCAGUUGUUCUUUUAUGCUUAAUUGGGAGGUAUAAACUUACAUUCUAGUAGAUAGCUUGGUAAUAAAACAUAAUCAACUUUAAAAGUGCUUAAUGCAGUAAACUAGUCAGCUAUUCCUUGAUUAGCCUACACUACACAUUUCCCCACACUUAUUGAGUACCAAUCAUAAGUGUACUCAUACUUACUAUGUCCGCUAUUCAGUACAAGGCAACUCUGUUGAAGACUUUGAAGAUUUGCUAGGCGUACGUUUCCCCCAAUCAACUGCCUGUAGAGUUGUUGGAGAUCCGCGGCUUAAACUAUAGAUUUUAUCUCAGCUUUUGAUUAUGUAAUCUAUUUAACUCCCUCUUUACGUUAUAACACUAUAUUUGAUAUUUGCUGAAGUCGUUGUAUGUGUGAAACUUGAUCCUGGCACACAUAUGAUAGUCAUCUGAUUUUACCUUUAAAACCGGGUGUGGCAGUGACUGAACCUAUCAUUCUGGAAUUGUUACUUAUGUUCAAUUGUUACUUGUGCUUUCACUGCACCAUUGCUUCACGUGACAGGGUUAAUGUAGAUCUGAUAUGUAGUUGUCAAAAGAUACAAAUAUCCUAGGCUACUAAAAUUACUUUAUAUUCCAAUGUGAGUUUAUUCCUUUCGAGCAGACCUUUGCUAUAUUCGCUGACUGAUCAUCGGAAGCUAUGACAUGCAUCCUUCUGAUGUGUGUGUUUCUGUCUUUAUGGCAUAUGGUUGCUCUAGCGACAUGGAAACAGGACGAUUCCUAUACGGCAAGCUAUGAACUGGACAAUGGACACACCAAAACAAUGCAUAUUUGUCAUUUUGCAUGACCUGAUAUGGAUGCAUUCUGCGCAUCAAAUAGAAAAAUAGCAAGAUCAGAUGCAUGGCUCGAUUAAAGUUAAUGUUGAUGGCAGUUAUGUUAUGGCCCGCAAUUAUAUAGUGGUUUGUUUAUGGGAGUUUUUGCAACAAUAGUUAUCAGCUCCUGCUUCUGUGCGGGUCGCUGAUGUUGAUGCAUGCUGAGUUGGUGUGAAAAUGGUGUCACGAUGGGGCCCAAACUAAGUGAUCUUGGUUACAGGAUACGGCCGGGUUCCCAAACUCUCGUGCAAUUAAGGGGGUGUUUGGAUACGAGGUGCUAAACUUUAGCAGUGUCACAUCGGAUAUUCGGAUGCUAAUUAGGAGAAUUAAAUAUGAGCUAAUUAUAAAACUAAUUGUAGAAUCCUGUGCUAAUUCGCGACAUGAAUCUAUUAAGCCUAAUUAAUCCAUCAUUAGCAAAUGGUUACUGUAGCACCACAUUAUCAAAUCAUGGACUAAUUAGGCUUAAUAGAUUCGUCUCGCGAAUUACACUCCAUUUGUACAAUUAGUUUUGUAAUUAAUCUAUAUUUAAUACCUCUAAUUAGCAUCCAAAUAUCCGAUGUGACGGGUGUUAAACUUUUAACAUCUUGAAGCCAAACACCCCCUAACUCUGGAGUACAAUGUAACAAACAUCGUUAAGGGAUUGCUUCAAUCGUGUCCCAAAUUCAAGAGAACUGUGGAACACAAGGAACCAACAUCGUUCCCUCAUGUACGGUCGAUGGGAAAUUUCUCAUAAAGCAUUUCCAUUUUUAACAGAUCAAAAAAAUGCGUUACUGCACCUGAACGAAUUGUGUCUUAAAAGGUGGUUAAUAAAGGAGAAUUGCAUCGAGCUGCAUUGGCAUGUGGUGUGGAACGGAAGAAGAGCAGUAUAUGGAGCUGAAGGUGGAAGGAUACAAGUGUGCUGUCAAAUCAUGAUCCAGUGGCCAGGAACCGUCGCCUGAAAGGAUGCUAUUUUUCAGGAAUUUACAGCCACCAGUUUAAGACAGAUUUACUUAUACAUUUUAUAAAUGUAUAUUCUUAGUGUACACAAAAUAAUUAAUAAACAAAUUUUAAUAUGUUGAAUGCACGGAGCUGAAAUGGUCAGUCUUUUAUGACCAGGCAAUGUACAACAUAGGAAGGGUAAGCUGUGGAAAUCAUUGACAGUAAAUAUCAAACUAGCAAUAAAUAAGUUAUCUAACACCCAUCUGAUGGGACCUCUCAAUUUUUGAAGGGGUAUGUGGGCAACUAUGAUACACAAUAUUUAUGUGCAGUUGCCAUUUUGUUUAGCGAUGAGAAAGAACAACAUUCCCUUUUUGAAUGUGUUAAAGCUAGUUGCAUGCAGAAUGGGCUCUCUAGACUUCAAAUACAAAUUAGUCUUAAUCAUCCCCAGCCCCCCCAGCCCAUCCCAAUCGUCCUUCCAGAUUAGGUCGAGAGAUUAGAUGCAUCAUGAUUGAUCUUUCAUUCCGCAGCGGUGCAUUCACUCCGGUCAGGGAGCAGCAACGUCGGCUGGCCGCUCAACGCCCUCGUCCUCAUUACCUGGCGGGGUUGUCCAUCUGCCACGACCCCACCGAAAUAUAGCACGGCUUCGUGUUAUAAAAGGUGUGGGAGUGUGGCACAAUGUCCACUGAGCCAUCAGGCAGAAGAGUCUCAGAUGGUCCAUAAAAAAAGUAUGGUGAGGUUGGGAGGCAUUAGGAAAUUAUGUAUCUCCCUUUCGUAGAUCAUUGCUGCUUCUUUUCUGUGUAUUCUUAUCAUGGGGCCGAAACUAAGUUAUCUUGUAUACGGGUUCCCAAACUCUUGUUCAACCAUGGAAAUCGAACACAAGAAACCAACAUUGUUUAGAGAUAGCUUCCAUCCUGUCUGAAAUUCGAGAGCUAGCUAUCUUUGGCUCCGUUCUCUCAUGUAAGGUGGAUGGGAAGUUUUCUAGCUCAUCUUUCUGCAAGAACUGGCUCGCCCACUAGGACUUAAAAUUCAUGGUCUCAUCAGGGUCCCUAAUUAUACUUUAAUGUUUGCAGUGCCAUUGUUGUCCUAAUUAUUAUGGAAGAGGAAAGAAUUUUUCUACUACCCCAUUAAAAGUUCCCCCCUCUCACCCACUUGGUAUUUUAAAUUUGUUAAAACAUGAUGAUGAAGGCUAUUUUUUCAAAUUGAGCAUUUUAGCCAAACUGGUCUGACCGAUUUAGAGACCGGUUCACCCAGAUCUGCCAAAUUUUAUUGUCAACACCUCCUAAAUAGUAGGCACUUGAAUUUGGGAAACUUUCGAGCGAUGUAUCGUAAUGGAGAGCUCCUUGAUUUGCAGCAGGGGUGGUGGUACCAACACCGCCGUGGGGGAGGAGGCAUGGGAGUUCAACGAGAUGCAUUGGCUCCCACGGGGACCUGAGGAAGAAGAGCAGUAGAUUGAGCUGAAGGUGGAAGGUGUCCUGUGAGCUGUAAAAUCAUGAUCUAGUGGCCAGCAACCGUCGCCUAGGAGGAUGUUAAUAUUCAGGAAUUUAUAGCUACCAUUUUUAAAUGUUUAUUCUUAGUGUACACAAAAUUAUUGAUAAUUAAAUUUCUAAUAUGUUGAAUUGCACGCAACUGAAAUGGUCAGUAUUUUGUGACAGGAAAAGGUACAAAAAUAGGGGAGGGUAAGCCGUGGACAUCAUUGACAGUAAUUGGAGUAUCAAACUUGCAAUAAAGUUAUCUAGAACCCAUUUGAUGGGACCUCUCAAUUUUUAAAGUGGUGUGUGGGCAACUAUGAUACACGAUCUUUAUGUGCAGUUGCCAAUUUGUUACGCAAUGAGAAAGAAUAACAUUCCUUUUUUGAGUGUGUUAAAGCUAGUUGCACGCAGAAUGCGCUCUAUGAACUUCAAAUACAAAAUUGGUCAUAAUCAUCCACAGCCCAUCCCAAUUGUCCCUCCGGAUUAGAUCGAGACACUAGAUGCAUCACGGUUGAUAAGUCAAUCCCCGAGGUAUGGGAAAGACUUCAGGAAUACAUCCUGGCCUGUCCUCAUCACAGGAUGGAUGAUUGGAUUAUUCUUCAGAACUUCUACAACGGGCUGAUCUGAUAGACCGUGACCACAUUGAUGUUGCUAUUGGAGGAGCCUUCUUCUCUCUAAUCAUAGGAAAUGCCACUAAAUUGAUCGAGAAGACGUGUUGUACAUGAACGAACACAACAAUGGGUAUCGUCCCCGAGGAGGCCAGGAGUGCAACCAACCACGCUUCAACUACCAAGGAGGUAACAAACCCUCUACUUGAAAUAUCAUGUUUUUGGCCAAGCAAAAAUAAUUGAAUCCCUUUCUAAAAGGCUUGCUGCCAACGAAAAAGCCUUGGAAAGCCUAUCCUCUACUUUUAAAAACCAACUGAGUUUCAGUAAAAUGUAAGAAACCCAAAUAGCUCAGUUGGCUGUUGCUAUUCCUUCUGUUGAGAUCGGAGAGAUUUCAGGUUAACCCGAACCUUUUCAUGAAAAUGUUAGUGCGAUGAUCGAGAAGUAGGAAAAACCUUCUCGGAACCCGCAAUACGCUAACAUUGCAGCGAAGUUCUAUGAGGAGAAAGACAUGACAUCUCAAAAGUGGUGGUCCCCGAUCAAUGGACCCAAGGGAACAAAGUAGGAUCCCAGUUGCCCGAUGCUUGAGUGCUUGAUCUGGGACUACGAUGCCGAGCAUACUCUAUGUGACCUUGGAUCAAGUGUCAGCAUCAUGCCGAAGGUAAUAUAUGAUAAACUCAAUUAUCGUCCCUUGCGUCCCAUAAGAAUGUGUCUGCAGAUGGCCAACUCGUCAAACUGCUAUCCCGUGGGUAUCAUAAGGGGCGUUUCGGUGAAAAUCCGAAACAUCUAUCUCCCUAUGCAUUUUGCGGUCCUUGACAUGGAAGUUAACCUGGAAGUAUCACAUAUUCUUGGGCGACCAUUCCUAAACACCACCAAGGCGAAGGUCGAUGUGAGAGCCAAGACCAUUCCUAAAUACCUCCAAGGCGAAGGUCGAUGUGAGAGCCAAGACCAUUCAACUUUGUCUUGAUGGAAAGAUAGAAGAUUUCAAGUUCAAGGAACUGCAUUGUUGGGUAAAGAGAUCCGGGAGGCGAACUGAUCCACAGCCUCCACAAUCCGAGGAAUCACCAUCCACACUGUUACAACCACAAAAGAUUAAAGAGGGUGUGGCAGACAAGGAAGGACAAUCAUCGAAUCCACUUCUCCAGGAUUGGAUGCCAUGUCAUCAAGCUGAACAUGAUGGAGAAGAGUCCUGGUCAUCGGACUCUAAAUGGUGAGCCCUUGGCCGACAGGUAAAUCGGUAGUUAUCCCAUAUUUGAUUUUUCCCAAUUGCAUAUUUUCUUUCAAAUAUUUGAUUUUCCAACACUUGCAUUUGCAUGAGCAUGUUUGAUUUUCCAAAACCAUAUUUGCAUGCUAGAAUUCUUUGUAGCCGUUUCCCUUUUCAAAACAAAUCUGAAAACAAAUCUGACUCAAAUCUUGAUUGAAAAAUCUUUUUGGGCAUUUUCUGAGAAGGGGGUGUUUUGCUCGUCCGAUGCAUCCACUUCUUUCAAGUUUUUGCUCUUAGGAUUUUCAUUCAAGUUCUGGUCAAGUUUAAGUGCAAGAAACUCUUUCCCUCUCUUGUGUUCUUUUGCUACAAGAUUGCUCAAGCUUUGGAGGACUAACCACUCGGGUAAUUUCAUUCAUUUUCACUAACGUAACCCGUUUCGAGUUUGUUCCUUCAUGUUUGUGUACUCUGCAGCAACAAAAGCAGGAGUGCAGAGCUUACUACCAUUGGUAUAGUGCAACCCUUACCAAGGGCAGUAAGCCAGAAGCUAGCUUGGGGGGAGUAUCCUCACAUAAGAGGUAACUUAUAUCUUGCUUGUUUUCAAUUUGCAUCAUAAAAACACCAUAAAAACCUAAAAACUAGAAAGUACAAAAAUACUUAGUUGCUUUCCUAUGGGUGGUAAGAAUGCCUUAGUUCUUCAUGGUUGAAAUGAUGAAUAGUUUGUCUGUUUAGUUCCUCUCAUAUGCCUAGUUACAACUUUGUAUUCUACCAAGUUUUGAGUUUGUUGGCUUGCAUGAUCAAACCUUAGCUUGAAACUUGUGGGUAGCAAAAAAAGCAUGAUUCUAGUCUAUGUUGUUGUGAGAUAUGAUAUGGUAGAAUAAAUUGCUAUAAUCUUGUUAUACAUGAUGCUUGAUAUCCAGAGUUUUAUUUUUGAAAAUGAUAAAAUGAUAAGUUCCUCAAUGAUGAGAAAUUCCCAUCCAAGGCCAUAUAUUGAUCAUUUUGAAUAUCCUCCACAUAUGCAACUUGUUUUCUUAUUGAGUUUUGUCAAAUUGUUGUGACCCUUAGUGAGAUGCUUUUCAUACUCCCAUGAUCAAGAUCACGUACACGCCACCACCAUAUGCUAAACUUCUACACUGGAAGUUAGCAAUCUUACCAUCUAUCCAUCAACAAAAUAAAGCUCCAUGUUGUUCCAUGACCAUUCUCUCUUCGAAGUUAUCCUUGCAAAAGAGACAUGGGCUAUGCAAAAAGAAAUAAAGUACAUGCUCAUGAAAGCAUGAUGAAAAAACAGAACAAAAGAAAAAGAUAGCCCAUGCCCCAAUAGAAAAAAACAAAAUGAGAGAGGUGGAUCAUACAAAAAGGAAUCCAUACACCAUCCACACACAUGCACAUCUUGAUCAAGUUGUAUGACUUGCUUCUCCAAGGAUCUAGUCUUUGACUUAGCAACACAUGAGAAACAUGUAUGCCUUCAUCUUCCCCACCUACAGCUCCACAUAUAAGCCUAUUAGGAGUAGGUUGGGAAAGAAAGGCAAAACCAUGCCUUGGUAAGGAAUAAUAGACAUUGAGGAAUCCGAGAGUAUCAUUUGAGAAACUUGAAUUUCUUUUGAAAAACUUUGCAAAACCUCUACAUAGAUAGUUGAUCAAGGGUUGAGUCAAUGGUACUCUAUGAAACUGUUCUAUCUCUCAAUUGCCCAAGACAAGGUAAAGCUACAUGCCCCACAGGAGUAAGGUAAGAGGUAAGAUCCAUGCGAACUUAUUCAAUUCAUGGAAGAAUAUUUCAUUGUAGGCAUGACAUAAGUUAGGAAUACAACAUAGUAGUAACUCCUGAUCAACCAACCUAAGUCUUAGCAUUUCUUUGAUAUGAGCAAAGGGCUAUUAUCCUUACCCUUGUUUGGGAUUUGGUCUAUUCAAAUAAGACAUACUUAUGAAGCCUUGCUUUCUCCCUAAAUUCCUGAGAACGAAUUUUCAAUAGCAUAAAUUGGGCUCCUAGAAUAUGGGCAUAGUUUUCAAUAGCAUAACUUGGGCUCCUAGAAUAUGGGCAUAGUAAAUCUCUUGACCUACUCGCCGUCCUUUGGAAAAUACGAUACGCUUGGGAAUACUCUUGGGUGAAAUACUACAACAGUAUCUCCGUGCGCUUGUGGAUUUACUCGUGAUCGUUAAGAAUACCAACAUAUAUCAACUCGGGAAAGAUUUGCACAAAAUAAACAGGACCUUUGCCCUCAGAGUCUGUGACCCUCUCAGUCAACCUACCGACCAGACCUGGGACUAUUCAAAGGUUCUGCUCCAGCAUAUCCAUUGCCCACCGUGGCCCCUUGGGAUGGAUUUCUAGGUUCAGCUAGCGGGAUUGAACCAAGGACUCACAUAAACAGGCACUCCCGAAGGCUGUACCUUUUUGGCACGUAUGGUUGCACGUUUCACUAGAAAGACUUUCCCGUGAGCCGGUCCUUAUGCGACUAAAGUAAGCUUUUGGGACAGGAUCCUCUACUGAGGCUGCCCCCUUACUUCCUUGUCUUGUCCUUAGGGGUUUCUAACUCUUUUGUUUGUUCAUUUUAUCAAACUUAGGUCUUCUAGCAUUUUUCAUAAAAACAUUGUAUUUGAAAUAUUCUAGUGAAUUAUAUCUAGUUGUGACUGGGGUCAUUAAUAGGAUUUCUAGCUAGAAGUGACUUCAAGUCAAGUUGGGAGAGGGAAUAGAAGUUGGUUGCCCUUAUGUUCCUAUAGAAAUAUGCAAAUCAAAUUAUUAUCUUGGUAAAUUUUAUUACCUAAGAAAAAUAGGGCAAAAGUAUGAUCAAAGGGUGGAUGCUAGGACUUGCCUUCAUUAACUACCUUAACUCGUCUCCUAGGUUGACCAGUUUCUUGAUUUCUCAUCUUCUGAAUCCUUGGUUUCUUGUUGGAGCCUGAUCAGGCUAACACAUCUACUCGUCUUCUGGACGGCUGACCCUUCAGCUUCAAACCUUCUGGAUUCUUGACUUUUGUCCAGAUCUUGGUCGUAUCCUCUGUUCACACAAACAUACAAAUAUGCAAUCAAUAUAAUACUAAAGAAAGUGAAGAAUAUUGGAUGAUGGAGGCUUUGGAAAUUAUUGCAUCUCUAGAUGAUAAUCCCUGGAUAAUCGAUGGAUAUUUUAUUAAUUAUUUAGAAAAUAUUUCUAAAUAAUUAAUGGAGAGGAUCUCUAGAUGAUAAUCCCUGGAUAAUCGAUGGAUAUUUUGCUAGAUUUCUAAGAGAGUUCUAAGAAUUUAAGAAUGGAUUUCCUAUGGUUUUGGUCGGGCAGCAUAACGGGUAGAUUUUGUUGAUAUCUAGGGUUUCAAUUCGACAACAUUUCGGCUAGAAUGGGUCGAUAUAUGUGGUUUGAAUGGGAUAGCACAACAGCUGGGUUUUGGAAUAGACUUUAGGUAUGAUGCGGGUGCUAGGUGAUGUGGAUGUAUUUCUAGUCUAGGAAACUUGCAAGACAAGCUCGGCUUUGACCCUACGGUGGGUGGAGCUAACCAAGUUUCCUUAUGUAGCGGUGGAACUUGAGAGCUUGUGUGAUAGUUGGUCUGUCCUGGUACUAGGGGAUAGUACACAUGGUGACAGAUGCAGUUGGGCAUGAACAAGUGGAAGCUAGAGAGCUCGUACGAUGGACACCACUUGCCCCGGUGCUAGGGGAUAGCACACAUGGCAAAAGAUGGGUCCGGUACAAGAUCAGGCAAAAUGGAGGCUAGAGCUUGUUUGACAAACUCACUUCAACCUCUAGGGUGGAGCCUAGACAAGAUGGCUUGGAUGGGCAUGGAAACAGGCUUAGCUGGCUCUAAGAUAUUUUUAGGAAUUUUCCUAGGGGUUUUGAAAGUGAAUUUGAUGGAAGGGCAACUUUUGGUGUACACUAAAUAGGGUUUUUCUAUUAUGUGUGGAAUUGAUAAUUUGGAAAAGGGUCUACAUGAGAGGAACUAUGGAAAUUAAAGGCAUGGAUAGGUUUAGAAUGUUCUCUAGUAUUUUUGAUGAAUUUUGGAGAAUAUUUAGAAAAGGGGAAGGGCUCUAAUUGAACUUGUGUGUGCACUUGGUCGGGUGUGUGUAGCAAUUAUGUGGGUAGUGUGGGGUUGCUAUUUGGUGGACCGUGCCGGUGGAAUAGUGGACCAGCGCGGGGUGUGCUUGUGGUCCACUGGACUAGGCGCAUGGGAGAGUGUCGGUGUUAAGACCCGGCAACCUACCAAGGGGUACCCGAGGUACUGUUUUAUGUGUGGGGCUCGCCGAAGACCAGGAAGUCGAAGGUGAACUCGAACACACGAUUUAGAUAGGUUCAGACCGCUUAUAUCGCGUAAUACCCUACAUCUUGUAUGUUGUUUGGAUUGUAUUGAUUGAAGUUGCUUGAAGGGGGUCCCUGCCUCGCCUUAUAUUACCUGGGGUAGGGUUACAAGUUAGUUGUUUACAAGAAUACUAGUCGGAUUCGACUAGAGAGUUCUACUCUAAUUGCUACGAGUAGUUUCCUAAUCCUCGACUAGUUUUUGUCCUCCAUGUAGACCACACCAUCCUGCACCGUAGUCUCAAUAUCUGACACGUCUCGGUAUACAACCCCGUAUUGUAGAACUAUCCAAACCUCUUGGUGGACCCAUAGAAGUAUGGCCGGCAGAGAGCGAGGUGAAGGGAGCUGACGAGCAGGGUGACGAUGUUGGUGCCUGGCCUGCCUGUUGGAUUGAUGAGAAGAGAGAAGAUGGGUAACAGAGAGAGACGGGGAGGAUGACGCUUACCAGACAGCGGCCAGGCGGUGCCACCGUGGGCACCAUUGGUGCUACGCGGGUCAUGCCGGAAUCGUGCUAAAGGGGUGAUUCCGGUCGCCGCCAGCCCCACGGCUUGUGCCAGGGGAAAGAGGAGAGGGGGGCAAGAUCGCUCGAGGUGUUGUGGGGCUGGGAUAAGAGGAUUGUCAGGUGCGGUCCCUAGGGGAUAGCGUGUGGCCCGCCUUGAUGGUGUGAGCGCUAGGGAGGGGCGGGGCGUGCUAUUUAUAGCUGCCGAGGGCACAGAAGAGGCGACCACGUCAGCCCGGAGUGGAUGAGCUCGAGUGGUUGAGGGACGUGCCUCCUUGUCCCUUCCACCUUUCAAGCACAGCCAUGGCCCACAAUGCCAACAAUCGACGAUGACCUGAGCUCACGACGAUAGAGCAGCACCGCCAUGGGCUCUCUAGCCGGCGUCUGCGUGCAACUGUGGCUGCACAUGGCUCCAUCGAGGGGAUUCGUGGAUGGCACUCUCAGCAGCUGCUCGAGGAUGACGCGUGCAUGGGAGGAGCUCCCAAGAUGGUGGCGCCCGGCGCCCAUUAGAUCCACAGCACCGCUGCCGAACCCUUUUGGCAACAAGGUCCAAGCAUAAGCUCGACGGCGACAACAUGGUGCGGUGGGUGGUGGGCGGCGCCCGCGGGUCAACUUGAGCCACGAGCGAGCCAACCCACUCACUGAUGGCCUUGAAGGCCAUGGCAGCGCCGGCGGACAGCUGGUAAUCCCCGCCGCCACACCUCACUUAGGGUUAGGAUUUGUGAGAUAGGGAUUUGGGCAUUUGAAGAUUUCUUAUUGUUUGACUUAAUUGAUUCAAUUCCCCUCCUAGAUUCUCUUAACUGAAAAACCCAAGCCUUACUCCGUUUUAACUUCGUACAAAACCAUGAUUUGGGUGCUCAUUACAGGGAAUUGAAAUUACGGAGGGUUGCUGACCAUUAAACUGAGAUCUUAAUUACACUGUCAUGGGCUAAUUCGACAUAAUUACCAUGAAAUUCAAACUAAUCAUGAGUGAUUGUUGCUGACCGAGACGUAAUUAGAACAUAAACAAGAUUAACCCAGGGUGAUUGGUUCUAAUUCAAACCAAUUCAAAUGAAUAGAGGUAUAAUUAAGGCUAGAUCGUUAUGGACCGAGGCAUAAUUGCAAAAAAUCGAGGUCAUUAGGGUUCAAGCAUUAGGCUAGAGGCUUUGAUACCAAAUGUAAGAUUUAUAUCCCGUAGGAUCCAAUUAGCCUAAACACAUGAACACCUAAUUAUAAUUAUAAGCACCUAAUUGCACUUACAAGUAGGAUUAGCAUAUCCCCUUAAGGCCGUUGAUGUCCUGGUGCCUGCUGUAGAAUCAUGCGCCCAUGAUGUGGAUGAUGCCGGCCUCUUGUCUCUCUUCUUUUACCGAUGUGGAUCACCGACGAUGGCAAUGGCCAUGGCUGCAACAACAGGACGUACUCGGUUUUCCUAUUUCCGCAGUGCCUACGUGAUCGGGACGUUGUGGGGGUGGAUCCAUGGAUGAGCUCAACUCCCCUAGACGGGGAGACCCCUUUUAUAGUACGGUGAAACAGGGGACCGAGCCAUUGGGUUAGUUAGAAGCCCAACCGAUCAUGGGCAUGGUCAAGGAUCUUUUAGACCCCCUUAAAGAUAGGCAUGAUUGGGCUGUUAAGCCUCUAAAGACUUGGUCAUCUUGACCAAGCCGAAGAUCAAUCCAACAGGAACCAAAUUUUGGCCGUACCUGUUACAGGGAGAUUCUUGCCAUUUGCUAGCCAUGGAUUCAGUUCUUCACACCCCAAAGGUGGCAACCAUCUAUCUUGAUCAUAGUCAUCAUAUUGUCUGAGUUCAUCUUGAAUUUAUUCUUUUUGAUUCUACAUUCAGUUGCAUACGUAUACUACAAUCAUACAUGAUCAUACAAGUAUCUCACUAUCCAAGAAAUUAAAUCUCAGCUUAGGGUGGUGUUGACGCAAAAUCUGGACCUCAGGCUUCAGUGUUGAACAACACGGAUGACCUCAGCCUACCACUUACAAGCUAAUUAAGCUAAGAAAACCUAAUCAAUAUCAUGACCAUGUAAUUGAACUUAGACAAGGUAACACGGUGAGUGGGUAUUAACUUCGGCCCAUUAACUUAACUAGACAAGCUUGUGGUAGCAAGACCUCGCACACACCCCUAUCGGCUCAAUGAUAUCAUUUUGCUUCUAAGAGAAACCGAUAAGACCUCACCAAAGCAUCGGCUAUCAACAGUAGUGUGCUAACAUCAAGGGCCUGAUGGAUAGCAAUACGAGGGGUAGGAGUAAAGAUUUAUUAGACUUAGCAUAUAUAAAGCAAUAAAAAUAUGUAAGAUCUAUCAGAUGAUACGAUAUGAUAACUGUGAACGCUUAAACAGGGCAAUAGUGCCGAUGAAGACAACAUAACCAGAUCUAAGCCAUUCGAUAACUGUGAGCGCUUAAUAGAACUAAGAGAUCGAUAUGGUGCAAUUUAAUAAAACCAAACAACUCGAUAACUGUGGGAAACCGUCAAAGACAAGCAGAAUAUUGGACAAAGCCUAGUAAGUUCUACUUGCAAUCUAAGAUAACUCGAUAACUAGCCACACAACUGAAUAUCAGAAUAUAAGACUUGACUUAGAAAGUUCUGAUACAGGCCGUAAUGGCCAGGUGACGGUACUUACAAGCUCGCUUGAUAUCAAAUCCGAUGCAGCCAUGCGCGCAGGAAGGAACUCGUCGAAACUACUCUACUCCUACUCCUAAGGUUUUGGCGGCGUGACGCCGAAAGAUUGAUUGAUGAUUAUUGAUUACAAGGCUCAUUGGCUUAUAUUUAUACCCUAGAGCAGACUAAAAUUCUAGUUGUUUACGAUAUGACUAUUACAUCUAUUUCUAAAAACUAGCUAAGAUAGGUCUCCAUACUUUCCCUUAUUUGGUGGAGUUGAUUUCGCCUCGGAUUGAGCCCACCUAGUCUUCUAUCGGCUUCUGAACUCUGGUCAAUUGCGGUUAGUCUUGGUCAACGUGGUUUCAUCAGCAGAGUUUUUCUCUCUCCUUCAUCGACUAUCACAACUUUAUCCAUAACGGUUGACUUUGAUCAAAAACCGGUGUCAACAGGUAGCAAUAUAAUAUAUACGUAAUUUUCCUUUUACCAGGGCAAUAUCUAAGGCAAGUUAUUUAUUGCUGUCCAAGACCUGAUCGAACCUUCCAGCUUGUCAGAUGAACGCACAACCCAUAGCUUUAGCAGGUCUCGCGCGACCUGCUUCCAUUGCUCUGACCUUUUGUCCUGGAUUUGUACGCUUAUGUUUUUAGCUUGUCUUCUGGCUUUAGUCUGACGAGCACUUUGCAUUUGGGUGCUCAUCUUCUCCACACAAAGGUGUGCAGUUCCAUGUCUGGUCUUCAAGCACAUUUGAUACAUCUUGGAUCCAGCAUUAUGAUGAAGAUAAUCUAUCGCCUUUGGGAGUAAUUUCUCAUCUACGUCCUGAAGGCAUGCGUUCGUGUGUAAUGUAUCAUGCUCCUUUUCGUCAAUGACCUCUAGAGCAUAGCUCUCUACUGCAGGAUCUAUAUCCUCCGGUGACUCAUGGGGUAUGAACAGAAUUCCCAGCUUUAGAGGAUCCAUAUCUGGAUUCAGAGAACUUCCUCCCCCAAAAUCCUUAGAUGUUGUUGCUGAAUUCUGCCUGUCUUUGUGCUGGUCAGGUAGCAACAUAUGGCACUGCAAAAGCACUACUAUAACCUCCUCUGGAAACAUAUCAGACAACAACGGUGAUGAUAAUGAUGAUGGCCCAAUUGUAUCACUUGUGCUAGAACAUGGUGUCAAAUUAUGCUCAUAGCAGCAGAGAGGGUUUGGACGACACCACUGGGUCAUAGUGUUAUGAACAUUGACCCAGUACUCACUCUGGACAUAAGGUUUAUGUGGAAGAAAGGAAAAAUCCUGUGUGGGCAGCUGAAUGAGCUCUCUCUUGACAUGUUCAGCUGCCAACUUGAAAUGAGGAGUAACUGACUCCAUGCACUUGAUCAUGACACCAAAUAUAUCGGUACUUUCAGAAAGGCGUAGCAUGAAGCUGAGGCUUAAACUGUUCAAAGGAUCCUUGAAGUCUAUGUCAACGAAACCUAUCAUUGCCUCUACUCCACGCUCUGCAAAGUUCAUGGGCCGUACGCCAAAAUAGAACAACCUGCUACCUUGCAACACUUGAUAUCUCAGAGACUUCCCUGUAAGAAGUUGGCCAAUAAGAGGAUCAAAGAACAUGUACUGUCGUGGGGUUCCACCAAGCUCGACGAACUUUAUGAAUUCUCUUGCGCCAUCCGCAAACCUCUCGAAUCUUCGGACAUUUUCAUAGCUAUUUGUGGACUCAUCUUUGCUGAAGGGCAUGAAAGAUGAGACUAGCGACUUGGUAGCAUGAGCAAACCGUUUGGGAAAUGAGAACUUGCUUAUGUGCUGUCUGAUAUCUUCCUCUUCAAUGGCACGUUGCUUGCACUGGCGCAGUGUGUCAUCACACUCUUGAGCAGCACGCUUCAGCUUUCUCUGCCACCGUAGUAGUGGCAUGUUGGAAAUUUGCCAUUUAUUGGACAUGCCGAGGGCAGCUUCCAUUUUGAUCUGUGCUAUCUCUAGCCUUUCAAUGUUUUCACUUAGAUCAGCCUUCUCUUCAACCUUUCUGCCAAGACUCGAUAUGAUUGUAUUCACGGUUUCCCCAAUGACAGCAGAACCUACAAUCUCUGCCAUGGCGUAUCAAACAAAGAAAGAAUCCACAAAUCUGAAAGAGGAAAUAAACAUAUUAUUAACGUCACAAUCUUGAAUGAGUAAAGAUAUAUAUAUAUAUAUAUAUACUUAUUUAGGUCACAAUAUUUCCAGCUACUCAUUAAUUGUGUGAGAGAGAAAAUGAAGGUCAAUCAACAGAGAAAAUGGCAAGGUAGUAAGAAGAGUUUAUUGUUAUUUAUUUGAAGACAGCAUAUUCUAACAAGAUAAUGUGAAAUCUUUGUGCUCGGCAGGAAACAUAGAGCUUCUCAGGAGGCUUAUUAGAAACAUAGAGCUCCAAGGAAGCAUAGAAACACAAUUUUUGUACAAGUUAUUGCAGUUUGCUAGACUCCUUCCAAAUUCAGGUAGCUUUUUCGAUAAAAACACGAUGUGCUUGAUGAAAUGCUUUAAACGGAGAUAGAGGAAGCUAGAGAGUAGAUGCUCAGUCACCCACCAUGUCAGCGCUAGUGGAGGGCUGUGGACCUACGGUGAACGAUUUGAAAAGUUCAUGGACUCAGAAAUACACUUUUAGAGUUCAUGGAUCUAAGUGACACUCGCUUACAAGUUGAUGAACCUCUAGUGCAUUUUACUCAAAGAAAAUAAACAUGGCAUCAUUUUGUAUCGCCUCAAUGAAAACAAAGAUCCUGUCGAUAAGAAGAUUAUUAGGAAACUACAGAUGCACGGCAUUUUUUGUUGUAGUGUAGUUUUGGAUUACUUUGUGAAGUUUCUAUAGAAGUUUCAGAUCAUAGGCUUGUUCGGAUAGCAUUUGUUGUGGCUCCACCGCAUAUUAGGAUUUUCAUGUGGUUGUUACUCUGUUAUCUCAAUGAUAUUUUUGAAGCAGCGCACUCUUAUCUUUUGAGAAGUUAUACAGUUCAUGCUUGUAACUGCUUUGGUUUCUCAAACAGAACCAGACAAAUCUCUUUCAUCGUCAUGAGAAUCAGGCAAAAUAAAUAUAGUCUCGAAAUUAGAAAAGGUAAAGAGAGAAAGGGACCUUGCCCAUACUUUCGUGGACCUUAAAUGUUUGGUAUUUGCCUAUGUUCAAAAUCAUACGGACCAAGUUGUACUUGAAUGCUAAUGUUCAAAAGCUAGGCAGAUCAACAAAUUGCUCGAAAGCUGUCGAUUAAUCCCAAAAGUCCAGAACUGGUGUUAAUAAACCGGAUUUUGGGCCGCAUCCAAUGCGUUGUGACAUAGGACAUUGUUAUCAGAGAUCACAACUUGCAAGUAGGCGGAGUGCAGGGAAUAUUAGAGAGAAUACCUUGUUAUAUUCGCAGAACCAAGAGACUUCUGCUGUGGAAGCACCCACGACCUUGUCCGUGUCCUCGUCCCUUGUCCGUGUGGCCGGCCGCCGUAGCCUGGGAACUCAGGAAGGUGUAGUUUUAUGGACAGCGAAUGGAAGAAAUAGAAUGGAGAUAGGCGUCUGUCCGCGUCACUCGGCCAUUGGUUGCUCCUGAACACCAAAGGCACGCAGAGCGGUAUAAGACGGUACAAUGACCGUGUGGUUCACGUCCCGUGGCGUUUUCCGCACCACAACACAGCUGAUGAGCUCUGCCUUUCGUUCCUGGACCGGCAUCGUUGACUGACCGUAGCUGCAAUGACCCAACCGGGUCUCGGCAGUUGACCUUGACUUGAAGCCUCGAAGAAGCUAAUGAGAAGUUAUUCCAACGAGUAACGCAUUCUGCUUCCCACAAUCCCAUUAGACUCUGUUUGGACCCAUCAACUAAACUUUAGAUAUCAUAUAAAGCUCAGCUAAACUUUACCUACAAGCUACAUCUCAAAAAGAGCAUUAGCCAUUAGCAGCUGAACUUUAAAGCAAGCAUGAAGUAAGAAUGGCUAAUAAAGCAUUAUACUUCUUAAAUUCAAACAUUUUCUAACCAGGCUACCGUCCAACAGUCAACACAACUCUGGUACCACUUCUAUCACACCCGGUUUUAAAGGCAAAUAAAUUACAUGUACACCAGGGUAAAAUUUCACACAUGCAACAACUUCAGUAAAUACCGUAAACGGUGCCAAAGUGUAAAGAGAGUAUUAAAUUUAUUACAUGGCCGAAAGUCUUCAAAUCGAAUAGCAAAACGAGUCAUUAUUCUAACAGCGUAACUCCAAAAGUGACGAUGACUCCACAGGCAGUUGACUAGUGGCAUACGUACACCUAGAUUUCUUCAAAAUCUCCGGGAAUCUUCUCAAAGUAAUCUUGGCUUGAGCAGCAGUUUUAGCAAGGGUGAGUACACUUAUGGUUGGUACUCAGCAAGCAUGGAGAAUGUUUAGUGUAAGGCUAUACAAGGCUGGUCUAUGGUUUAACAUUAUUUCAAAAUUGGUUGGUCAAAUUUUAUUAGCAAUUACUAAGUAUAAUUUUAUACCACCCACGUUAAGCAUGAACAUAAAUAAAUACUAGCAAUUUAAUUCAACUUUCGAUAGAUCAAUCAUGUGAGCACGGCUAAUCGAUCAGUUUUAGACACUCUGCAUAGGUUGUACAUCUUUAUCCACAAGUCGUGUUUCCCAAAACACCCGAGUUAAUUACUCCCUUAAACACUUAAGAGGUGAGUGACAUGAAAUUCACUACGAGGCCUUUACAAAGAUUCCCUAAUAAGUAGCAAUCCGCUAUGGUUUUCGGAUCAAUAGCAAAGCAUAAACCUCUGGUUUCCGGAUCAAUAGCAAAGCAUAAACCUCUGUCAGGACUGCGAAGCUACCAUAGAGCAGAUCAGCCUGAGGGCCAGGUUAUACCUCAUCUGUCACCGCCCCUCUUGCCCUUUCAGUAAGAUUACUACAUAUUGAGAUUUCUAAUUAAUUAGCCAAGCCAGAGUCAUAUAGCCCUGUGGUUGCAUGAUGAUCUUGUAUUAAUAAAAGAUAUAGCAUAAAUAAAAUAAGUUUAAUCAUUGGUUCAUUAAUACCAUCAUAUCCAAGUUGAGCAACUAAGCAAGCACUACCCAACAUAAAGUAAACCCAGGUAAACAAGGCAUAAAGAUUAAGACUAGGCACUCCUUAGAUAGGACCCAUCAUGUUUAAUCAUAAAAGUGCAUAGCAUAUAAAUGGACAUAAAAAUAAAGGUUGUGUAGGAUCAAAAUUGUGAUAAAGGAUACGACUUGCCUUCCUGAACUAGCUCUUGCCGCUCAAAGUCUUCAAAGGCUUGGUCUUCGAAUCCCUUGAACUGAGAUCCUUCUAAGCGCAUCAAUCAAGUACACACAAGCAAAUAAAGAACUGAAAUAAGAAAUACACCAAACAGUAGCAACGGAGCAAAACAAUAUCAUAAAACUAUUCUAUGCAUUAACACAAACUCAUAGGCGCAAGAAUCGCUUAAAACGGAGCUAAAACGAAAAAGAUAUAGCCAAACUAAGCUCUAGGGAUUUGCUGGAAAGAUUUUGAAACUUCCAGGGGCUUUAUUGCAAAAAACCAAGGGUAUAAACAUAAUUAAGCUUAUAAAUAGAAGGUCUACCAUGUAAAAAAACUAAACAGGAUGGAAGGUGCAAAAACUGCAAAGGAUAGGGGCUAAGAUAGAAAGAAAAGGACUUGAAUCGAAAUACUUAGCCAAGCGGCGAGUGGAAAAAUUUAGAAAGGCAAGGGCUUUUAAGGUAAAGAGGUGUUGAUAGGUACGCUUCCAGUUUGACCCAGUGUCAGACUUGAUCCGGGCUGUUGAUGUGCAAUCUGGCGGCUGGCGGUGACUGCGGCGGCGGAAGGCGGCGGCGUAACAAGGGCAGCUCGCCGGGAUUCUCUCGAACUCGAGCUUCCGGCAACCAUUUGCGACGAAACUUGGCUUGGGAUGAAGCUAGCGACGUGGUGAACCGAUCUGGGUACGUUCCAGGGGUGGAAGUGUUAGAAUUGUGUUUGUAACCAACUAUGCGCCAUAAUGUUGUGCGCCUGCCACAUUGUGAUCUUAGAAAUAAACUCGGAUUGCUUAGAGAUAGGUUAUCUUGUAAAUCAAGUUAUAAAGCAAACGAGUCCUAGGAGAUCACAACUGUAGUCAUGUAUAUCUCUUGGUUGUUUUUCACCAUAUAUAAAGAUGCAACCGUGGUGAGCCAAGAUAGGCAACCACGUUUCCUCUUUUCUUACAUGGUAAUCAGAGCAUCCUCUUCUACAAAACAUCCAUGGCGUCAUCAUCAGUUUCCACGCCGGCGCCACUAGGGGUUGUCUCCCAGAAAUUGACUCGAGGCAACUAUCUCCUAUGGAAGGCUCAAUUCCUUCCUUCUAUACGAGGAGCUCAACUCAUGGGGAUCCUAGAUGGAUCUAUCCCUGUGCCGCCCAAGACUCUGGAGGUGGCCAAGGCAGACGGCAAGAAGGUGAUCGUCCACAAUGUCGAGUAUGACUCCUGGGUUGCAAAAGAUCAGUAGGUGUUGAGCUACCUGCUGAAUUCUCUCACCAAGGAUACGCUAGCACCGAUGGCAACGACAACUAUAGCAGCACAGGCAAGGAAGGUCCUUAAAAGGAUGUUCUCGGCGCACUCCAAGGCGCGGAUCGCAAAUCUGCGCAUUCUACUAUCUACAAAGAAGAAGGGUAAUAUGUCGUCCUUAGCUUAUUUUACCAAGAUGUGCUCCUUUAAAGAUGAAUUGGCCACAGUUGGGAAGUUCAUAGAUGAUGAUGAGAUGAUUCACUUUAUCUUGAAUGGCCUCGAUUUUGAUUAUAAUCCCUUUGUGUCUUCUAUGCUUGGUCGGGCUGAUCUUUCUUUGAGUGAUUUGUACUCCCAAUUGAUUACAUACGAUCAAUGCAUGGAGAUGUAUCAAGAGGGUGACCAGUUUCAGUCGUCAACCAAUAUGGCUAGUAGAGGGCGCGGCUAUGGCAACAGCUAUGGUGGUCGUGGCCAAGGUAAUAACAACUAUGGCCAUGGCCAAGGUAAUAACAACCAUGGUCAUGGUCGUAGCAAUGGUGGUCGUGGUGGAUGAUACCGUGGCAACAAUAACAAUAGCUCCAGCCCAAGUAACUCAUUGAAGCAAGGAGGACGCGACGUCAAGGUGGUAUGUUAGAUCUGCAAGAAAACAGGACAUGAAGCAUAUCGCUGCUGGUAUAGACACAACGACAAUGAGGAUCAACAAAAUCAGAAGUCUACAAGGGCGGCUACUACUGGCUAUGGCUAUGACACAAACUGGUAUGUCGGCAGCGAGGCGUGAGAUCAUGUUACCAGUGAGCUUGAGAAGAUGACCGUCCAUGACAAGUACAAUGGGCAUGACCAAGUGCAUACGGCUAAUGGAGCAGGUAUGAAAAUUAGCAACAUUGGUCAUACAACUUUAUAUACCCCUAGCAAAAAUAUUAUUCUAAAAAAUAUUCUUCAUGUUCCUAGUGCUAGCAAGAAUCUAGUAUUUGUUCACAAAUUAGCUCGAGAUAAUGAUGCCUUCUUAGAAUUUCAUCCAAAUUUCUUUUGUAUAAAGGAUCAGGAAACGAAGAAAAUCAUCCAACAAGGUAGAUCCCGAGGAGGCCUCUAUCCCUUAGGAUCGCACAUAGCUCAAGAAGAUCCGAGGAAACAAGUUUUUUCGGUCAUUACACCUUCAUCUACACGUUGGUAUAGUAGGCUUGGUCAUCUAGCUUUUCCUAUAUAGAGAAAAUCAUUAGUUUGAAUAAACUUCCUUGUACUAGUGAUAAAACUUCAGAGACUAUUUGUAAUUCUUGUCAGAUGGUCAAGAGUCGUCAGCUCUUCUAUCCUAUAUCAAAUAGUACAUCUAAAUUUCCUCUUGAUCUGAUUUUCUCUAACGUCUAGGGACCUGCUCCUGCUUCUGUUCGGCGCCAUAGCUAUUAUGUUAGCUUCAUCGAUGAUUUCAGCAAAUAUACUUGGAUCUAUCUACUAAAAAAAAUCUAAUGUCUUUCAAGUUUUCCAAAAUUUCCAACAACUCGUAGAGAGAAAAUUCAGUCGAAAAAUUAAAUCCAUGCAGUCAGAUUGGGGAGUCGAAUAUGAGAAGCUCAAUUCCUUUUUCCAGCGCAUAGGCAUCACACAUCGUGUGUCUUGUCCCCACGCUCACCAGCAAAAUGGCGUGGCCUAAUGAAAACAUCAGCACAUGGUCGAGGUAGGCCUUGCUCUUCUUGGUAAUGCAUCUAUGCCCUUAAAGUAUUGGGAUCAUGCUUUUCUAACCUCAACCUGCCUCAUUAAUCUUCUUCCCUGCAAAGUCAUUAACUAUGAUGUUCCUGUCACUCAUCUUCUUCAUGAGACUCCUGAUUAUACAUCCCUUCGAUUGUAUGGUUGUGCCUGUUGGCCCAAUUUGCAUCCAUAUAACUCUCGCAAGCUUGCUUUUCACUCUACUCAGUGUGCCUUCCUAGGCUAUAGUGCUAUGCAUAAGGGGUUUAAGUGUCUCGACAUCUCUACUGGCCAUAUCUACAUCUCUAGAGAUGUUGUCUUUGGUGGUGCCGGGGUGGCGCGGAGGUGGCGAGGAUGAGGCGGUGUGGUGGUCGGGACGAGGUGGCGGAGCCAGGGCAGCGCGAAUGGAGGUAGCACCGACGGGCCGUGGCGAUGCGGACGAGGUGGCGGCACCGACGAGGUGAGGCUAGGACAGCGGUGGCGCCGGAUGGAGGCUGGAGGAUGAUGGGCGGUGCGGACCGAGGAGGCGCAAACAAGGCAGGGUCGGGACGACAGCGGCGUGGAUGAGGCGGGACCAGAACGGGAGCGGUGCAGACCGACGGGGUGGGGAUGGCAGCGGGGCGAACGAGGCCGGGACGGUGGCGACGAGGACGAGGCAGCGGGGACGAGGCAGCGGGCCAGUGUAGUGAUGGUUUUGCGAUGAUGGGACGAACGGGCCAGCGGGAUCGGGCUGAGUGUGAGGACUGAGGAGGGGAGGGGAGGAGGUGGAACUUUUAACACCCCCCCCUCCAAAUACAACCCAGGACUAAAGGUCCUUUAGCGAGCGGUAUUACCACCCGAGACUAAAGGGGAGCCUUAAGUCCUGGGUGGAUCUAGGACUAAAGGUGGGGGCGCGGAAUGCUCGGGAGAUGGAAAAUAACCCUUUAGUCUCGGGUGGGCUUUGGACCUGGGACUAAAGGGGGGGCACGCGCAGGAGAUGAAAAUUACCAACCUGGACUAAAGACCCCCUCAUUUUUGUUUCCCAUUGCUUUUUUUAGUUUUAAUUUAUACAUGUUUUAAGUUAUUUCGCACUGGUGUUGUUAAAGGAAAAAACCUUUACAUAUUUUGAAUAUGCAAAAAUAUAUUAAAUUAGCAUGUAUUUUUCAAACAAGAUUGAAUCAUUCAUUAAUUCCAUACUAGUUUGUUAAGUUCCUAAAAUAAUUAUUUUAAUGCAUCAAUUGAUAAACAAACUCUUCAGUUAAAUAAUUUCAACGUGCAAAAAUGCAAUUGAAUACGGUAUUAUCAACCAGGACUAAAGGCCUCCAUUUUCGUUUCCUGCUUCUUUUCUAGUUGUAAUUUACACAAGUUUUCAGUUGUUUUGUACUAGUGAUGUUGAAGAAAAAAACCUUUACAUAUUAUGAAGAUGCAAAAAUAUAUUAAAUUAGCAAGUAUUUUUCAAAUAAGAUUGAAUCAUUCAUUAAUUCCAUACUAGUUUGUUAAGUUCCCAAAAUAAUUAUUCAAAUGCACCAAUUGAACGAAAAACUCCUCGAUUAAAUAAUUUCAACGCCCAAAAAUGCAAUUGAUGCAUGUGGUUUCGUACCAACAUUGUUUUUAUUGAUCAAAAAAUGUGCACCAUAGAGCAUGACAAUGUAAUUGAAAGGUUUUGAUGGCCAUUGAGCAUUACAUAAAGGCGCAUCACAUUUAGUGCACUAAUUACAAUGUAACGUUAAAAAACUUCUUCUUAACAAAAGUUCAUUGGUCAAUGAUCGCGGUGUAAGUACAGAGCCCUCUUCUUUGGCUAGCAUGAUGUUUGGGUCAACUUCGACAACGAACGGAGGCAUGCCAUCAAACUGAUAAUAAUCAUCUGAUUGGUCUGUUUUGUCCUUGACUUCCACAAUUUUUCUUUUACCUGGAAGAAUUAUGUGGCGUUUUAGCUCCCCUGGUUCUUCUAAAUUUUUCUUGGGAUUGCUAGACAUGACCUUCACAUAGAAAACCUGAUGCACAUCAUUGGUAAGGAUGAAUGGUUCAUCAUUGUAUUCAAUCUUGAUCAGGUCCACUAUUGUCAUCCCAUACUAAUCUUUCAUUACGCCACCUCCAGUUAGCUUUACCCAUUAGCAACAAAACAGAGGGAUGUUCAGCAGUCCGUAUUCGAGUUCCCAAAUCUCCUCUAUGAAACUAUAAUAAGAGUUCUUGCUCCCAUUUCUAUCUAUGGUAUCUAUACGGAUACCACUAUUUUGAUUGGUGCUUUUUUGUCUUGAGCUCUCAUGUAAAAUUUAUAACCAUUUAUCUCGUAACCUUGGAAUUUUACAAUUGUGCUAGAAGGUCCCCUGACUAACCAAGCGAGUUGUUCUUUGAAUCGCAGAGUUAGCCAUAAGGUGUUGAUGCAACCAAGAGGGAAAAGUAUCCAUGUGAUAACGUAUAAUCCAGGCAUCAAUUUUCGUAGGGUAUUGGGAAAUUAGAAUCUGCUUGUGUUCCUCGAUAUACGGAUCCACAAAGGAUGAUUGUUGCAGAACUAUUAAGUAUGCUUUGUGGAACAAAUUACAGCCAUUGCUCAAACAUGAUUUCCUUCCAAGGGUGCCCAUUCCCAGUAGCCUCCCCUCGUGGCGUGUUGUUGGAACCCCAAUCGACUUAAUUGAUUUAAUAAAAUCAACGCAAAACUCAAUAACCUUUGUUCCAUAUCCCUUGGCGAUGCUUCCUUUUGGACACACACGAUUAUGAACAUAGUUUUUUAGACUGACAUGAGCCUCUCGAAAGGCCACAUGUUGUGCAGGAAUAUUGGACCGAGAAUAGUAAUCUUUUUGACUAGGUGUACCAGGAGGUGAGUCAUAAUAUUGAAGAAGGAUGGUGGAAAUACCAACUUAAAACUGACAAGAUAUUGCACUAUAUCAUUUUGUACCUUUACUAGCUUUGUUGGAUCAAUUUCCUUCUACGAAAUUGCAAACGCGCAUAGCUUUACGAGCGCCAAUCGUACAUUCUCUGGUAGAAUACCCCUCAAUGCAACCGGAAGCAACUAAGUCAUCAACAUGUGGUAGUCAUGAGCCUUUAGAUUCAUGAAUUUAUUUUCUUUCAUAUUUAUUAUUCUAUUUAUAUUCGAGGAGUACCCAUACGGAACCUUGAUGCUAUUCAUGCAUUCAAACAUGUUAUCUUCUCUUCCUUGCUGAGAGUGUAACUGGCAGGACAUAAGUAGUGAUGUCCAUUAUCUCUCUUUUUUGAAUGUAGGUCAUUUCGUUGCUUCAUACGUUUCAAGUCCUGUCAUGCUUCCAAUGUAUCUUUUGAGUUCCCAUAACAACCCAUGAAACCUAGCACAUUCACGCAAAGAUUUUUCAUCAGGUGCAUCACGUCUAUUGCAUUGCGGACCUCUAGGAUCUCGCAAUAGGGUAGCUCCCAAAAUAUAGACUUCUUCCUCCACAUGGGUGCACAUCCGUUAUCAUAUCCAAUACACGUUUUUCCAUUACGAUGUGCAGGUUUUCUACGAUGCUCUAGCGCCCCUUUGAAAUGCAACCCUCUCUUUCUUAAUGGAUGGUUAGCAGGAAGGAAUCGGUGAUGGCCUAUAUACAUGACAUUCCUAUAGUGUUUCAAGUACAUGAUGUUUGUGUCGUCUAAGCAGUGGGUGCAGACCGGAUAUCUCUUGUUUGUCUAUCCUAAAAGGUUACUGAGCGCAGGCCAAUCAUUGAUGGUUACAAACAAUAGUGCUCAUAGGUCGAAGGUCUCUUGUUUAUCCUCAUCCCACACACAUACACCUUCUUCCUUCCAGAGCAAUAACAGUUCAUCAACCAACAGUCCUAGGUACACAUCAAUAUCCUUGCUGGGUUGUUUUGGGCCUUGGAUAUGCACCAGCAUCAUAAUGAACUUCCACUUCAUGCACCGCCAAGGAGGAAGGUUGAACAUACAUAGGGUCAUAGACCAAGUACUAUGACCACUACUCAACUCACCGAAUAUAUUGAAUCCAUCAGUACUUAGACCAAACCUUAUGUUCCUAGCAUCAUUUUCAAAGUCCGGGAAUGCUCUAUCAAUUGAACUCCACUGGGCCCCAUCCGUGGAGUGUCUCAACAUCUCAUCUUACUUACAUUCUUCUUUGUGCCAUCGCAUCAACUUAGCAUUCGCCUUGUUGCUGAACAAAUGCUUCAAAUGUGGUCAACUAGCAGACACCGAGCACUGAGCAUUUCAUCGCAAACUUGGCGUGCCUUCCAUCUCCCCCCACCACUCAAACAGACUAGCGCUCCACUAGAAGCGCCUCCUCGCUUCUUCCUUUCGCACGACUGGAAGCGAUGGCCGACGGCGAAGUGAACCUAGGCAAAACGAUGGCAAUCGCCGACCCCCUAAUGGCAUCAACCAGCGCUCCUGCAAGCGCGUGCCACAUCACGCUGGCACGCUCGAUGGCCUCCUUCCUCCCCGCGCGCUCGCUAGCGGGCUGCAGGGUGGUGGUUUGGCGGUGCUGGAGUGCUAGGAGGGGGAGGCGGAGAAGAUGGGUGGCCCUGAGGGCUAGGUGCAUCGGAGGCCAGUUGUCCGCCUUGUAGCCCGAUUCCGGCAGCGUUAGGGAGGGGUUGGUAGCGGAGGAGGACGGCCUGCGCUGGCUGCCGUUUGACCUCAACCUCGCCGUCGUGCUCGCCGGGUUCGCAUUCGAAGCCUACACCAGCCUGCCGGUGAGCCCCUUGUUCCCCUAUCCACGAACCGCACAGUCCACACUAGCCCGUCAAGCUGGUGCAGGCAAGUGGCAUGGAUUAGCUUACGUGGCACCACUAGCAGAGAACUCACCUUCCAUCCACCCCCUUUUGUGCAGGUUAAUAUUUGGCCCGUGACAAAAGUAGCUUUAGUCCUGGGUCAAAAAUGUGCCCCCGAAAGCCACCGCAAGGGGAGAGAUUUAGUUCCAGUUGUAAAUACCAACCGGGACUAAAGCCCCCCUUUAGUUCCGGUUGUAACAGCUCCAAAAUAUCCCACCAACGCUGCCCCCUUUUGUCCCGAUUGGGAAUUCCAACCAGGAGAAAAGCCCCUUUUUAUCCCGGUUGGAAGGUGCUCGUGCCGCCAGUGUCCUUUCUCUUCCACGCGCUAAGUCCUUAGCAGCUAGCUGUUCAUCUCCUUCCUCCUCCUCCUCCCUCUGCCAGCGCGGGUGGCCACCCCCUCCCUCUCUGCUCCCCUCCCCUUAACCCUCUGCUAGCCCCUCACUAACAGUGAGGAGCAGACGGCAGUGGGGCGAGGCGGGCGGUGGCGCGUGGGCAGAGCGGAUCGGGCGGCGGUGGCGGUCACGGGUGGAGCGGAGCCGGUGGGCGGAGCAGAUUGAGGGCGCGGAGGGCGCAGAGGGAGUGGCGACGGGGUGGAGCUCGGAGCGGUGGCGGGGUGCGGAGUUCGGAGCGGCGGCGCGGCGGAGCUCGGAGUGGUGCGGGGCGGGGCUCGGAGCGGCGGCGCGGGGUGGAGCUCGGAGCGACGACGGGGCGGAGCUCGGAGUGGGGUGGGGCUCAGAGCGGUGGUGCGGGCUAGAAGCGGCAGAGCGGCACGAAGGUCGGGGCCGGGGUGGAGGUUGGAGCGGAGGCUGGGGCGGAGCGGCAUCGGGGCGGCGCGCGGGUGGCGGCCGGCGAGCGUGCAUGGUUUUUUAAUUUUUUUUUGAAAUUUUUUAGUCCCACCAACCGGGACACCCGGGACAAAAGACCUCCCCCUUUCGUCUCGAUUACUUUAUCCCGGAUGGAUUUUUGGGAGAUUUGACCCCUACCAACUGGGACUAAAGACGAAUUUUCUACCAGUACAAGAUUGGUCGUCAUGUUUGGCAGGUAGAUGUGAGCUGGUGCGAGACCGAUGCGGCGGACUGUCAGACAGCGUUCCUAUCCGAGUGAGUUGUGGGUUUAGCCUUCCUUAUAGAGCUUCAACUAUUAGUUGUGGACUUGUUGCUAUUGUGUUAAUCAAUAGGACUGAGAUUUCUCAUUUCUGAAUGUGCCGUUGCUGUCACCGGAAAUGUUCUGAAUGAUGCUGCAACUAUUGCAGCGUGUUUCUCCGUGAAGUAUAUGAUGGACAACUAGUUGUCAAACUGAAGAAAGGCAUAAAUCCGCCUGCAAUGGACCCAUGGGUACGGUGAUGCCUAAUAGCUUAUGCUGCUGAAUACUCAUCAAUCAUCAUUUGCCUUAUCGUUGCUCUUUGUUUCUCGAACAUAUGGAUGCUAUUUUCUCAUUUGCUGCAUUUAUUCAUGAAAAGUGCCUUGUUUCUUUGAAUGGAGUAGCACUACGUUUUACAUUUUCUGCAACUGUUACUUGAAGUCCUCUUCUUCGACUCUUAACAAUUCCAUUCUCCUAAUUCCUUCACAGGGUACAAGUGAUCCUUAUGUAAUUCUACAACUGAAUGGCCAAACUGCAAGAAGCAGCAUUAAAUGGGCGUGAAUUACUUGUACCAAUUCUUGUAUGCUGGGGCUGGGAGUGCUACUAUAAAACAAGAACUUCCUGUCGGCUCUCUGUAUGCAAAUUAAGAUAGUUUAUGCUAUAUAUAUCGAACCCUUUUUAUUUCAUCUGGGAGUACUCAGCUAGUGGGUAAUUUCCUUGAGAAAACUUGAAAUUUCUAGUUGUUUGCAUUAUUGCUGCAGAGUGUGAUUUCAGUGAUUGAUCAUUGUAGGACGAAGGAGCCAACGUGGAAUGAAAGUUCACAUUUAACAUUAGGAAAUCUCGAGAAAAUCUGCUUCAGGUAUCAAGAAGUUAUAUAAUUUCAUGGUCCCCAUUCUGGCCCAUUUUGGUCCAAUCAUUUUACUCGUGUGUUUUGUACUCUUGUUAACCAUUAAUCCUUGAUCCCAUUAAUCUGUCGACUGUCUUGGUCCCAUAGGCUUGUAGUGAUGUUGGGCUUGGUCCAGGUCAUAUAAAUCGCGUUGAAUGUUGGAUACAUCAACUCCCCUGAAACUUAAGAUGAAUCAGCAACAUUUACAUCAAAUAUCCAACAUACUGAAAGCAUGCCUAUGGUUUUCAGAAUUCCAGAAUUCAUGGUGAAGAUUGUUUUUAUUGACUCAAACGAAGUGGAUAACAAAACUUGCAUUUCACUAUAGGAACUGAUAGUAAUCCACCAUAUGAUUUUGUGCACCUUUAUUUUUUGUUUUAAUCACUUACUGUGUUAUAUCUUGGUGCUGCCAUGAAUGAUUUUGUGCCUUUUCGCAUGCUGUACCAUAUUCCAGAAUAGGUUGCAGCUUGGGACGCGAACCUUGUUACCCCACACAAAUGCAUGGGAAAUGCUGGAUUGUAAUUCUCUGUAUUAACAACAAAAUCUCAAUCUCUUCCCGCUGGUAUUUCCUGCAUUAUAACAAAGAUCUUUUUAGCCGAUUCCCAAUAGAUCAUGGGUGCUGUUUCCUUCUUGUUCUCAGUAGGACUGCUCUGUACAGAAUCUUGGCUAAAAUCAAUCGUGAAACAGGAUGGAAUUGACCAGACAUGAUAGGGAGCUGAUAAAUUCCGCUUGCUCUUAUGGAGAAAUUUGAGAAAAUAAACAGGUUGCAUGUAUUAUUUAUGAUUGUGGUGUUACAUCAAAGAACAAAUUAGUGAUUUACAAUAGGCUUAAUUCAGUCCAAAUGUGGACAAACUUGCCAAUUCCACCAGUUCGUGAAUCUCAAAGAUGCAACUUAUCAUGCGCACUGGGAGUUCUGAUACUAUCUAACAGCCACUGUUGUUUUUCCUAAUAAUCGUCAAACUCCACAACCACAUGUUUCUCAACUGUGUAAUCUUUCUGAUCUGCACUGUGCAUCCUGUUAAAAAAUCAUACAGGGAUUAGUAUAGCUAAGACUAUUUGCUAAUAUUCAUAAGCAGUAAUAAGUUAAACAAUGUCUUGUUGCUUUUCAAUGGUAUAGCAAUAUUUCCUAAGAAAAGUCAACAUAUACCAAAAUGCAACUUAGUUUUUUUAAAAAAAACUGGUAAAUCUAUGACCAAUUAUGCCAAUUUGGUCAAACUGAAAGCAUAAUCUGUAGGUCGGUUGCAUUUUUGUCUCUUACUUCAAUUUUCAUUGCAAGUACUUGUGAAAAAUUGCUCCGUGUGCAGUCAGGUUUUCUCCAUGAAUAUUUAAUAUGAACACAUUUUUUCAUCUUGCUCUUUGUGGAAACCUUAUAGUGCCCUUGUUCCUUUGUAGGAAAUAGUCAUAAUGUUACUGUUGAAUUAGAAGGCCUUGGUGGUGGUGGAACUAUUGAGAUAGAGGUAAGAUACUUGCAUUUUUUUUUGGUCAUUGAGCACAAAUGUGCACCUUGCCUCUCAGAUGGGGGAAGAAGCAGCAAAAUCCUUACUUAUCUUUUUCUUCUUAUAAUACUUCCAUCUAUAUGUUCUUAUAAAAGCAACACCAGUAGAACAAAUUUUCACAAUUAUCUAGGAAAGCCUUUUCGACACGAUCUAGCAUGCAGUAAUUUUAGUCAUACAUAACAGCAUUUGAUAUUAUAAAGCCACAUUGGUAAUCCAUAAAUUGUAUGUACCAUCCAUUGUUGCCAGAAGCGGACCAAAAGAGGGCCUAGUGGGGGCACGUGCCCCCACACAGAUUCUGUAUUCUGGUAAACUUGGCUCCUAUUUCAAAAGUUUACAAAGGCAAUGCACUAGCAGGCCUUGUUCAAUUUUGUUGAAGAUUUGUGAUGUUUUGUUUCAUUCUAAUUGGUGAUCUAAGUUCCUUGUAUAACACUUCAUGUCAAAUACAAGAGUUAUGAUGAUAUUGAGCGCGAGAAAAACAAUGGUGGAGGAUACCCUUUGUGUCUGACUUUCUUGUGAAGAGUAGCCUGGGAUCUGCUCUUAGAACGGUCCUUGGAUCUGCAAGUGUAAAUGCAAGUCAGUUUGUACAGUCUGCAUUCGGGCAACUAAGUUCUUUCACUUACACCUACCUUCCAAAACCAUCAUCUUUGGAAAGUGGAGGUGAGGUCUCUGAAAGUGUUGAAGAACCCCGGGAUAACGCAGUUGAAUCAAACAACCUUCAACAGCAGAAGAUUGAUUCUGGAGAUAGCUUAGAUUCUCACUGUGACGCUCAAUCUCCUGCUGCAGCUGUUAACAGUGAAGGAGAUAUAUCGUCAGAUGAAUACUGGAGAGCUUUGAAUAACGUGCUCAAUCAAAAUGUUCUACAUAACUUUGGAUUUUCUCUUCCUGAGGUCAAGAAAUUGGAUGGAUUUGACCUAUUAAGUUCACUUGGUCUGAAAUCACGCGAAAUUUCUGAACAGAAAUAUUUAGAAUCUGGACUGGCGACGACAGAUACUUCAACAAGUGAUGGCAGUGAAACAACUCCUGAAGAUUCAGUUGGUGUUGACAAUGAAAAUGGUGCAUUGACAACCAAAGAGGAGGAUCAGUCUUCCUUUGUGGACAUCAAUAAAGUAUCUCGGGAUGUAUUGUCUCAAACAGAGAAUAUACUAGGUGCUCUAAUGAUACUUUCGAAAAACCUCUCACCACAUGACAACAAGUCAGUAACAAAAAAUGAGACAAAUAAAAAAGAUGAUAUGAUCAUAGAACAAGAAGUUGCUGCAGCUGAAGACUCUAUUGAUAAGGAUAAUACUGUUGCAUCUACCAAACUAUCUGUUGAUGCACAGAAAGCAGAGGAUAUGCGGCAUCUGUUUGCAAGUGCAGAGACUGCCAUGGAGGCAUGGGCUAUGCUUGCCACCUCACUUGGGUGUAAUAGUUUUAUCAAAUCAGAUUUUAAAAAGAUAUGUUUUCUUGACAACGUUUCGACAGACACACAAGUGAGUUAUUGUUGUGAUAUCAAUGAGUUUGCUGUCUCCAUAUACUCGCACUGGUAGAUUAUAUCAACAAAUGUAUUCAGGUUGCCAUUUGGCGCGAUUCUUCACGAAGAAGGCUAGUUGUUGCCUUUCGAGGAACUGAACAAGUAUGCAUUAACAUGAAAACCUUAUUUGAGAUCUGUUAAUACUUAAUAGAAUAUUAACUUGAUAUUUGUAAUGUAUCCCAUCUUAUUCACUUUUCCUUGCAUUGUUUCUACAUACCUACCUAGUCAAAGUGGAAGGAUUUGAGAACUGACUUAAUGCUGGUACCUGCUGGGUAGCACUUAAGAACCCCUUUUAAAUUGUAUGUUCCAUUGGCACAACAUGAUUUCAACCUGAUUGCAGACUAAACCCUGAAAGGCUGGGUGGUGACUUCAAACAAGUUCAAGUUAGUCGUCUACUCUCUUCUCUUUAUUAUGUGAUUGUUCACAUAAUAUGCUAACUGACAUGAUUUCAUACCAUGUAUUAGGUUCACAGUGGAUUCUUAGGUGCAUAUGACUUUGUUACGAAUAGGAUCAUGGCGCUCAUCAAAUUUGCAGUAGGAUACCAGUAAGUAUUUGCAUUGGAAAAUGAAGCGGGAAAAUUCAUUUUAACCUUCCAUAGCAUGUCCUCGUUGCACAAGGGAUUUUGGCUAUAUAUCUCAGUAUCUCACAAUAUUAUUGCUGAAAAAGCAACCCUUGGAUUUAAAAUUCGGAUGCUUCUGCGUUUAGUGAAUAUAAAGGGUCAUUAACUAUCUAUCUCAAACUUCAUUCACAAAAUAUCUCAUUAAUUAUUCCACUGCAGGGAUGAAGAAGAUGCAGAAAAUAUACCUAGGUGGCAUGUAUAUGUAACUGGACACAGUUUAGGUGGAGCACUAGCAACCCUUCUUGCUCUUGAACUUUCAUAAAGUCAAAUGGCCAAGUAAGUAGAAUUUUGUCUUCAUCUAAAUCCGCAAUCUUGUCAUUUCACAGACAGCUUAUGCCAUCAUUUGAUCCAUGGUAUGUGGAAAGAGGUAAAGUUCAAGCAUUUAACACGCAGUAAACCUAAACAAGAUCAGAUGAACUUGGAUGGCUCCUUUUUAGCUGCCCUGCCUCUAGAUAGUGUUUGCCUUCAUAAUGAAGAAAAGAGUGUCAGGAUACUGACAUUCUAAUAAAUGGUCUGUUACACUGGUGCUUCAUUCAUUUUAAAGAAGGUAAUUAAUGUUUAACUUAUUUCUGUAUAUGAUUGUGUUAUAAAACAGUCAACAUAGCUCACCAAUAAUUUAUGUAUGUAUAACUCUUCUCCUGCAGUUGGCAACUCUCAACAAUUUUCUAUUAUGGUUUUCUAAUAUUUUCCUACACGUUUUUCCAAUAGUAAUGUGUUGAUAUUUUUCAUGUUUUUCAUGUCACGUUGUAUAGGAAUGGUGUCAUAUUUGUGACAAUGUACAACUUUGGCUCCCCUAGAGUGGGAAAUAGAAGAUUCGCAGAAGUCUACAAUGCGGUAAUUUCAGGACCAUUUACUAACUUUAAUUUAGAAAUAGAAUACUUGAUAAAGUGCAACUGAGAAUGAUAAUAUUCUUGUGUACAUAUAUUCUGCACAUACAAGUCAUUUCAUUGUGGAGUUGUAGAAAUGAAUGCCAAUUUUGAGCAACUUAAUAUUUUCAUGUAUUGGCAUAAUUUUUUUUAUCUGCUUUCUGUCCUUGAUAUAUUGGACAAAAAAUAUUGGGGAAGUUCAUAUUGAAUAUGAAUAUCAAGUAUCUAUCUAUUUUUAAUUUGAAAUAUUGUAAUAUCAAGCGUUUGGGAAGCUGCAUAGAAAUAUUAUUAAAGAAGACAUACAAAAUGCUGACAAUCCUUUGUCUGGAAGGAGAGAGAAGAUAAGAUAUAGAAAAAAACGUAAAAAAAAAAGGAACCAGGAAUAAUCUGACCCUUUCGUUUGGUAAUGGAAAACAUGCUAAUAAAAUUUUCUUACCCUUAUGCAGUAUGGUGGUAUUCAGCUCCUAGAUAAGAUAUGCCUACACCCGUGCCAAACCAAAUUCCAAAAUCACAUCUAGUUGACAGUAAAUCUUAUGUGUAAUUUGGUGUUUCCAUUGAUGAAGCCUGCAUGCUGGAAUCCGUGUAUAUAUCAUUAUGGGUUAAGUUGUAACUCCAAGACUGUUUAUCGUAAUUGAACUGCAAUGAUCUAUGAACUAGAAAAUCAAAAGCAACCACUAUAUAUUUAAAAUAUUUUUUGAGUUAUUUUGCAGAAAGUAAAGGACAGCUGGAGAAUUGUCAAUCACUGAGAUAUUAUUCCAACAGUACCACGUCUUAUGGGCUAUUGCCAUGUGGAAGCACCAGUUUAUCUCAAAUUUGGAGAUUCCAAAGAUGAACCGGUAAUGUAAUUUUUCUAUCGUAUCUCAAUACAAAUGUGUUCUAAUAAUGUUGAUGAUAAGGUAUCCAUUUUUAUUCAGAAUUUCAGAUCCCCCAGUUCUCACCUAAAUCAUCGAACUGUAUUUGUAUGUGACACAGGUAAACAAUGGAAUAUUAUAUGACGAAGACCAAGGUGAUGUGAUAGGGGAGUACACACCGGAUGUUCUUGUUACUGAAUUUGUGAGUGUCUUGCCUCUGUCUUUUACUAGAAUGUUAUUGCACACAUUGUUUUCACUAAAUGGGCUUAUAAUUCACUGCAGAUGAAAGGAGAGAAGCAACGUGUGGAGAAACUACUGCAAACAGAAAUAAAUUUACUCCGCUCAAUCAGGGAUGGUUCGGCCCUUAUGCAGCACAUGGAAGACUUUUACUAUGUCACACUUCUCGAGGUUUCUAACAUCCUAUACAUUUUUUCUGAUGAGUAAAAAUGAUUUCUGCUUUUAUCAUACCACAUUGUGUCACAAGCUCCUCAAGACCAGACAACUAAAUUACAAUUGAAUUGAUGCAGAAUGUGAGAUCAAGGUAUCAAGUGGUUGACAGUGCAAUUGAUGAAUCCCGUUAAUUGAUAGCAUGAUCCUAGUAAACUUGCAUGGUUAAACAUCCAGGACCGUGUUUCCCUACAAAAACUACAGUUCUGAUGGAAGGACAUUGUAUGAGCUAUGAAGGUGCCAUGCUGUGUCCCAUCCUCACUCUUCGCAAUCCAAACAUGCACAUCCUAUGACUGUUGUGCCAUUUAAACAUUUCAACGUACAGUUUGUAUGCUCAUUCUUUAUUCUAAGUCUAGAGUUACCAAUCAGGUUAGUGAAAAGAUGUGAACUGGUUCACUGGUAUCUACUGGUGGCACUGUGGCCACUGGUGGAGAGAUGUUUGAGCGGGCUCUUUUUAGUUGAUGUAACUAGCACACAUUCUGAUAUAGGUGAUACAAGGAUGGGGCUGUCAGGGUGUGUUUGGUUGAGUGUAGGUUGAUGGAAUGCGGUGGAACCAUCUUGUAUGAACGGAACAGGAUAUGUAAGUUCAGUGUUUGAUUGAAGAAUGAAGAGACGAGUGAUCCUGGUUCCAAGUCCAAGCAACGAAUUUUGCUGGGCUGUGGACCAAUAAUUUGAGGAAAUUGAUUUCUCUUGUACUCAUCUCAUUCUUCUGCUCGUUCUUUUAUGCAGCAAGUAAUCCACCUUCUCCAUGGAGAGCAGGCGCAACUGUGCCAGGUGGCACUGUCUUUUCUCCGUCCUACUUGGCCCGUUGCCUCUAAAGUGGAGACUACAUUAUCACCAGCAAAUGGGAGAGGCAGGAAUUAUGGCGUGAUGUUGGGAAAGUGAGCAAAUAAUCCAAGGGUACUUAGGAGCAAGAGGAAGCGCGGUCCACACUGUUUGUCUUGCGUUACAGCUAAUGAGCUUCACAAAAGCAAGAUAUGGACACGCGGACCACAAUGUUUAUCUAGGUUACCGCUAAUGAGCUACACAACAAAUAUUCAUGCUUCCUUGAAAAUAUACUGGAUUCCAGACUGAGUUUACAGUUGCCCCAAUCCCAUGAGUAUUGAAUAGAUGUCUGGUAUACAAAACCUCAAAACAAAAGCCAAGCUUCACUCUUUUAACUGGGAGAAACUUGCUAGCAUAUUCGACCUUGAAUUUGCUAGCUCUACAAUCAAUUCAAGGGCUGCACCAAAAUAAAUGUACAGUUAGAUCAAAACGUAUAUGAGACUGGACAAGCUUCUGUAAUAAAAAUCAAACCUGUCUCAAAUGAAAUUUGGGCUGUUCGUAGUUUUGGAGACACCAGUGCUCCAAAGACUGACAAUGCUUUUGAUCUCGCUCUUUGAACCUAAGGUACAAAAUGGCCAAAAAGAGUAUCAAUAAAUGUGGAAGUACAGGAAGUAUAGUACAGCUUCCUUAUUCACUAUCCCAAAAUGCAGCUUUCUGAUACCUCAGCUGCAGAUAGAAACCUAAAUGAAGGUAUUGAGUUUACUGCAGUAUAUUAUUACUGUAGCAUUAAGUCAUACCGAUGGCAUAUCUUGAAUCAAGCAAAGAUAAACUUUUGUUGUUGGCACUGAACAUUACUAGCAAUGUAUCUUUUUGUUGCCUCUAAAAGCAAUGUUUCACUAUCUGUUAUUCUAGCCUCAAGUUUUAAGAAAUAGACAUCUAUACAGAACUUACAUGAUUGCUAGUGCCAGCAUCAGUAGCCGAAUCUGCUGUGGUUGCAUCACUUUCAGGGUUUCCAUCUUCUUGACAAGAGGUUGAGUCAAGCAAAUAGAUUUAAUCAGCACAUUUGCUACUUAACAGGGAGCAGAAAUAUGGCACAUUCUAAUACCUGGGGUAGUAGCUGAUCCUCGAUGCCUCAACUUUGGCUCAGUACUAGCUUGCUCACCGACAUCAUAGGUGGAAUGACAUUCUUCUUUCAAACACCACUUCGAUAAGGCAAAGUGUGGUUUUGACUCUGAAAUAUGAUUUCCUAAAUUAUACCAAUCCACGUAUGAUAGCCUUUCCUUAUCAACCAGAAGUAGUGGGGAAAAAAUAAAUCCAAUACAGCUCUCUUUUUACUGAGAAAUGCGAAAUAAAAAAAGUGAAGGGUACCCCAUUGAUAUUUGAUGUUGCCCCCUGCCCCCCCCCCCCCCCCCCUCAUCAAAAAAUUCCAUUAAAAAGGGGAAAGAUGAAUUUGUCCAUUCAUUGAACCCUAGUUCGGGACUGACGGUGCUCGAACCCGCAGCUUCCGCCUUGACAGGGUAGUGCUCUGACCAAUUGAACUUGAGGGAUAUUUACUAAUUAUGAGUUAACAACAGUUGCAUACAGCUUGCAAUUUGUGUGUCGAUGUUCCUUGUAGCUUUAUCUACAGUAGACUUCAAUAAAACAAACCAGGAACAAAGGGAAACAGAUUCAAGAGAAAACAAAUGUAUUUCUAAAUUCUAAUAGUGGUUCUUCAAUGCUGAUAGAUAGAUAACAUUUGUUAACUCAAGUAGUAGAGAAGUAAUUCACCUGAUGGUUUCAGGCCAGCAUGAUCAACAACUUGCAGCUUAGUGGCAGCAGACUGUUCUUUAUGAUCAAACAGUGUACUUGAAACACGUGAUGGGCCCAUAGAAUGGCGAGCACUUGCCAGAUCGAGCCACCCCUAGGGAAAAAAAAUAUUCAUGUUUACUUUCAUGCUAUCAGUACUGAAACAGGAAAUGAUGACUUCACUGCAUCUCAAUCUAUAAGUCAAAAAUUGACAGUAUGAAGGGGCAUCACAUGGUCACUGCAUGUUGAAUAGCUACUGAAGGGACUAGCUUUUGAAGGUUGUUGAUAAAAAUGCAAGUGUCUGGAUCUAGAUUAGUGUCAGGGCGCUACAAUUAAGGACAGACUACAAAAUACAGCGAAAAGAAAAGUAUAGAGCACUCCAAAUUCCAAAUUCACACCAUUUACAAAGUUUUGAUAGGCUCUGAAUCCUAUCUCAAGUUACCACCACUGAAGUUAUAAUGGUCUUCCUUAAACAUCAUUAAACUAUUGCUAAUGUUCUACUAAAGGAUUUGGCAAUAUUCAUCUACAAUAUCAUGAGUGUUUGCUCUAGAAUUGGGCCAUAAACAUUGUUCUGCUGAAAGAGUUAGGCAACAUUGUUCAAAUUAAUCAAGCAACGGACUUCCUUUCUGGUUAAACCAACCGAUUAGUAAGUAGUGCGGUGGAGUCAAGGUGUUCCGCUGAAUCAAAGGUGCCCGGUAGAUUAUGCAAGGAUGGACUACACAACAGUACUGGCUGGUAGAGACAAAACCUGACGAAGAGCGAAGUAGAGGGAGUCCAUGAGGAAGAGGUAACCAUCCACUGAGUCCAUGAAUCGCAGGAUCUCGUCGUCGCCGUCGCCUUGCGGCCGCCCUUGCUCCCCCACCACGCCGUCGAUCUCUCCCGCGUCUUCCACCCCAGGGGCGGAUCCCAGGAGCUGCGGCUCCUCCGCCACCGCCGCCAUCCGAUCCCUGGAUCCCGCUUUGCAAAUUCCUGGCAUGUGUGCAAAGUGAUUGAUUAAAUAAAUUUAUCGUUGAUCAAAAUUUUGAAUAAAAAUAUAUAUUUUUUUAACAACGAAGAUAUUACAUCCACAGCUGCAAGUAUACAAAACAAGGGGUCCCUGUUUAGCAUAGGGAGACGAGGCUCCAUUAGAGUGUGUAAACCCUCCUUACAUGCAGGUAAUAAUUAAGCAAAACCCCCUACAAAUUGUGAUGUGCUGGUAAUCUGCCAUCGGCGGCGCGCACGCCACUGCCAUGGGCUCACGCCACCCCACGCACCUCACGAGUCUCGACCCGAGCCCGCCCCCGGACUCGGAGUCCACCCAGCCCGGGUCAGCCAACACCCAACAACGCUCCCUUGCCAUCAUCAAUUCACCACCACCGCCAACAGCAGCAGCAUGUAACACUAGCACAAAUUUGAGAAGUCUGUACACAAGAUCAUGUUUGUUGUGCUUAUUUGUCUAAACCAAAUGUCAUUUUUGACUUCUUCAUGUCAACUGUGUGAGAUUGAAAUGCAUCCAGUAGCAAUUUUGAUACAUUGAGCAGUCAAUGUACACAGAUUGUCAGAUUGAGCAAUGAGCAGUCGAUUUUGAUUACCUCGCGGAGUCGCGGUGGGGGGCCGGCCGGCCGGGGGCAGCAGGCAGUGCUGGGGGGGGGGGGGGGGGGAGCCGGGGAGGGGAGGGGGGGCGGGCGCCUGGCGGGGCGGCGCCGCGGCGGUCUGUGCGCCGGCACCGGCGCGCCGCCCGGGUGGAGCCGUGGAGGGACGAGGGGUCUGGAGGCGGCGGACGGCCGGGAUCUCGCCGCGGGGGCCGGGGGGCGCGGGGCGGCGCGGCAGACGGGGCGACGCCGCGCCGGAGCACGGGAGCGGGGGAGCCGCGGCCCGCGGGGGUGGAGCGGCGUCUGGCCAGGCGGGCGUGCGCCGUGCCCCGUCGUGCGGCUGUGCCUGGCGGCGGUAACGGUAGCUCAGGAGACAGGAGCUCGGGACAUGGGGUGACCGGUGGAGUGCGGUGGUGGGGGAGAUCAGUGGCUAGAUG
rnacentral:lncRNA from 1 species